GGUGAUUUCGUCUCCACUGGCUGCAUUACUGCCAAGCAAGCUUCCCUAGCUAAUGAACAGCUAAGAUCUUUAUAUUCCCAGGUAUUUACUUGUGUCAAAUAAUUCAAUUAUAUUUGCUUGCUUGCCUGGUUAUAAAUGAUUGUUACUCUUCUCAAAAAAAAAAAAAAAAAAAUGAUUGUUACUAGAUAAAAUUACAAUUUUCAAUUGAUCAUGAUAUUAGGUCCGACCUAAUGCUAUUGCACUCGUCGAUGCAUAUAAUUACACCGAUCACUAUCUUGGCUCGGUCCUUGGACGGUAUGAUGGAAAUGUGUACCCGAAACUCUACGAGGAAGCAUGGAAGGAUCCUCUAAAUGACUCAGUUGUGCCUGAUGGCUACCAUGAAUACAUCAGGCCUCUUCUGAAACAACAGCUUCGAAAUGCAAGACUCUAAAGAAUAUGAUGAAAGGGUGUGGUGUAUACCCAAGUAAUUCAAAUCGUAUACACUUUUUAUCCUAUCAAUAAUUUUUGCCAAUAAAAUUAACAUAUUGACCACCCACAAUAGAAUAAUAUGGGUCUGUGGAUACUAUCAAGUUGAUCCAUCAGAUCGUUGACGAAUUCGGGGUUUAUUUGUUAGACUUCACGUUAUGGAAGAAGAUUCUUCAUUUGUAGAUGGAUAAAAUGGUUGUAAUACGAUUUGCUUAUUUAUGUGCACUAUUUUUCGCAAUAUUUUUAUUCUUCAUUGAUGAAGUUCAAAUUAACCAAUGAUGCUGUGUUAUCCUCUUCCACUGCCCGUCAAUUUUGAUUUGCGGGGGAACAACAAUUCCUCAAGUUGAAUGUUAAUAAGAAUCGUCUCGGAAAAGAGCAAAGUGGGGGGAAUCCAGUCCAAAGUGCCUAUGGAGAAACUCUCUUCUGAGUGAAUUCCCGCGAUAUGAGUUUAUCUAAGUCUUGCUUCCGUAUAUAUAACAUUGAUCUACAGUCAGGUUCGUUUCCCCAGAUCAUAUGUUAUGUUAUAUUAUAUGUAACAUAUAAUAAUUCCUGAGUUUAUCACCUAAAAUUAAAAAUUACGGCAUGUGAAAUAAUUUAAUUGUCAUGGCUGACAAUUCAUAAAUUUAUUGUAUGUUACAUUGUAUAUAAUAAAGUCUAACUCCAUUUCCUAAUAUCCUAUGUGCUGAAAAAAGUACGCAGGGACGCUCUCUUAAUCAAUUAGCAACCAUUUUCUUUACGUCAAUAUUUAACAUAGACAAAUUUCCAUUACUAGGGGUAUGGGAAGGUCACAUUUAAACACAACAGCAUUACUCUCUGCAGAAGACGAACAUGCAUUUUUCUUUCCCAAAGAGUCAUAAAACCAAGCCCGAGUCCCAAAGAGUCGCUUUUUUGUAACCCUUCGUUUGCUUAUUUAUAGCAAUUGAAAAAAUAAAACAAAAUUCAAACCCCUAAAAAGUAAAAAACCUUUAUCAUCAUGCAUCAGUGCACUUGUGAUCUAGUUCAAAUUAGUUGCUGAAGCAUGGCCGAAAUAGGAAGCCUCGUAGACCUGUUGCUAUUCUACACAGUAGAGAGAGCACUCUUCAACAGAAUGGUCGGCACAUUGGGCAAAGAUCCCCAACAAGUGAAGACAACAAUAGCACUUUGGCUCUUGCUAGAGGAGAUUGGUUACCACGAUUUGAUACGAACGAUAAAUUACCAAAAUAACAAAACCAUCGAAGCCCUCUUUAACGAGGCAUUGCUUUGCCUGGAAUACAUUCAGCCCGACAAAACAGAACCAGCAGUGUUGCAUCACACCCCUGUUUUUGAAGAGACAAAGAACUACAGCCGGGACUUCAUGUGCAAGCGAUACAUGCACAUUAUGGAAACUGUCUGUGACAAAAUAUUUGGUGAAAGCGGGGCUAUCGAAGUUGAUGAGUCAGGGACCAGGCCCGUGCUUAGUAGAGAUAGACCCUUUGGCAAGGGUUGUUAUGCACACGUGCCUGAAGCAGCAAGAGAAUCAAAUUUAAAUCCUGAAGCUUCCAAAUUUUAUCCCGAAGAUGUCAGGACCAUGUUCUUGACGUUUUCGAGAGGCCAUCCUCUAACCCGCGAAGAAAUUAUCAACUUCUUCAUCUCGUAAGAAAAACUACUUUAAUUUGCUCAAUUUGUUCUCUCACUUGGAUUUUGUUGCCUGCUUUUGCGCCGGCGAUUGUUGCAUUGUAUUGUUUUGCAGCAAAUGGGGCGACGUGGUGCAAGAUGUUUUCAUUGAGCGCACUCGUCCGGGGCAAGAUCCUCAGUUCGGACGUAUUGUUUUUACUUCAUCAACCGUGAUACCUCGGGUUCUAAAUGGUCAAUCCAAAGCAAAGCUCUUGGUUAAUCGUAAGCAUUUGUGGGCUCGUAUAUACAUGAACCGCCAUGGAGAAAAGAGGAAGAGUCAAUCAAUGAAGUUUUGAGUUGCAAGUAGCUAGUCGGCUAGCAACAACAAUGUUUGAGUGAGGCAUAUAUAUCGCAAACGUAACUACAUAAAUGGUCGAUGUAUGCCAUAUACUGUAGACACUACAGUGUCAUUUUUCUGUGUCAUUUUUUUACCAAUUCGAUCAAACAUUUGGUAUUUUCUGGCCUUCUAAUUACAGCCCCUGGUGCUGGGACGCGGACACUCGAUAAUACAUAAUCAAAUAUACUUGCUUCCCCCAACGCGUUAUAUAUAUAUAUUUUAAUGAUAAUAGGAUGGCAAUCUAAGUUUGUCUUCACUACUAAGUGGAUUCCAACCUUAAACCUCUUCAAUCAUUCCAAGAGGUUUUACGAGUUAAGCUUGAGAUAAAAAAAUUAACAAAUAUUUGAGUGUUUAAUUUGGAGUUAAAUGGGGCAACAAUGUUAAAAUAUCCAUCAUAUUGUACGGGCCGGCUCUCAUAUAUAUAUAUAUAUAUAGGAUUCAGACUGUAUUAAAGUUAGAGGCAAAACUCAAAAUGUGCUCUAUCAUGUCCUGUAGUGUAUUGAAAUUUAUAUAUAUUUUUUAUCUUUUAACUUGUCUCUCACUUUAAUAAAGUUAGAGAUUCUUUAUUAAAAAUUCACUCAAUACAUAGUGCUUAUUGUGGAAAAAUUAAGACAAAAAACAGGGGAAGUUUGGACAGAAAACCAUACUAAAACAAAAAAAAAAAAAAGUCAAGGCGUGCAACAGCACUGUCCUUAAGACCAAAUUUCGUGUCUCAAGAUAUAAUAUCGUGGUGUAAAAAUGACUAAAAGGCGGUUUGAUCUCAAAGAUACAAUGAGUAUUAUAGAGAUGUUACACUUCAGCACGAUAGUUUAGAACAACAAAAGUAUAAUGAUGAAGGCAAAGAAAGCAAUGUAGAACAGAGAGCAUUUUCUACAUAAUCAUAGUGUGAUAUGAUUGGCUCUUUAAAUAGAUACGCCCUAGCCCAUUUUCCUCUGUAACUUUGAAUUAUAAUUAUACAAUGAUUUAAAAUAAAUCCUAAUUUGAUUAGGAAUCAAAUUCUCAAUAUAAUUUGAACUAAAAAUAAAUAAAAUUAAAACAAAGGGCAAAAACGUAAAAGGUGGCCAAGCCCUUGCACAUACACGACAUCCUCGUGGGGAAAGAAGGGGGGGGCCCCUAUACGUGGGUUAUUGGGCGCGAGCACCCAGUUAAUAUAUUCCCAAACCAAGCUCCUCUAUUGGGCUUGGUUUCAUGCACGUGAACCUUCUCUUUAUGGGUUUGUUAUUACAUCAUAUUUGGUUUCUAUAUAUAAACCAACUUAUUCUCUCUUAUUUAAGUAAGGUGGGAUAUUAGUAUUUUGAAAUACCAACUCAAUCUUUAACAAUCCCCCUACAUAUUUCAAAAUACCCAAUUUCAUUCAUCUUCAUCAUUGUCUAUAGAGUUUUAAUAGAUAUGAAGUAGAGCCUUUUGGGCUAUAAACCAGCCACUAAACAACUAACUAUGUCUUAUAGGAACUUGGUGAAACUUAUAGUUUCUAUAAACUAAUAUUCUUUUUGUGUAAGGCAGAGGACUAGAAGCUUACAUUAAACUCUCACAAUGUUUUGUUGUUCUACGAUUUGGCAUUUUAAUGGCCCUGUGUCUUUGGAUUCAUGAGUGCUCUAAAGAAGUCUGUUUAACUCUCAUAGGAACUAAUACAAUUCCGUACUUACAUAACUCUCAUAGGAACUGAUACAAUUCCACACUUACAUAGGUGAACCUCCAUGAAGUGUGUCAUGUAGUUUCAUCAUACCGCCAUGAAAAAAAAAGGGCUAUAGAGUUCAUUAAGAGAUUAAUUUUUCAACCUAAAUCAUUAUAAUAAGCACUACCUUGCCAUAGGGAGAACUCAUAAAUAAAGAAAAUCUCUAUUGAAUAAAAUGAAGAUUACAAAAUAUCGAUAAUGCUAUAAGACAACAAGUAACCUGUUAUGUACCUAUACAAAUAUACUUCAUGGGAUCUUUAAUCACAUAGGUAGGGUUACCAUCACUUUUGUCUUUUGAUCUACAUAGUAGUCCCAUGCCCUUUGACGUGAUCUCUAUUAAAUUCUUGUUUAGCGGUUUUGUUAGAAGAUCGGUCAAAUUCAAAGUUGACCUUACAAAGUCUAGGCUCACGACAUUUAAUUCUAGUAGCUGCUUAACAAUAUUAUGUCUCAUACGUAUGUGUUUAUUCUUCCCAUUAUAUAUUUUACUCCUAUCUCUCGCAAUAGUGACUUGACAAUCCCAAUGAAUUAGUAUCACAAUAGGAGGAUGCGCAGCAAUAAGAGGAUUGGCAAAGAAUUUUCACAAUCAUUUAGCCUCAAAACAAGCUUUUUCUAAAGCAAUUAGCUCAAACUCCAUGGUAGAACGAUCUAUGCAUGUCUACUAGGACGAUUUCUAAGAUGCUGCACCUCUACUAAGGGUGAAAAUAUAAUGACUAGUGGAUUUGAACUCAUUUAACUCAAAGAUCUAAUUUGUAUCAAUAUACUUUUCAAGUACUAUUGUGCAAAUUUUAUUGUACUCGCAAACACGAAUCUAUUGUAAUAUAGAUUUAUGGAAUUGAAUCUUGACCCACGAAGAGGUAGAUUUAAUUAUGUGUAAAAUUAAUUUUCUAAGUGUCUAUGUGAAUUGACUGGAGAUGAUUUUUGAACAAUACUAAGAUUUAAAAUAAAAAUGGUAGGAAUAAAUUAAGGAUGAAAAUAAUUUAAUAAAAUAAUUGAGUCUCUUGAUUCAUAUUCAACACUUCACCAUGUGCCUAAUAUUCUUUUUUAGUUUCAAUUAAUUUAUGAAAAGGUAUUUCCACUCUCCAUAAGCCUUACUCUAAUAAUAUGGUAUCAAACACUUAGUGUGCCAAAGAGUAAUGAUCUUACGCUAAGUGUGAUGUCAAACACAUAUUGUGUUAGACAAUAAUAAUCCUUCUAUCGACAAUGUGGCAAGAUCGUCCACUAAAUAACUUAGAUGCACACUCUGUUAACAAUAAAACAAAACGACCUACAAAUAUUAUAGGAGAGUCUCUUUCUAAUAAAUAUGAUAUAAAGUGUUCGUUGUACUAGACAGUAAUAAUCUUUCACUAGAGAGCCGGUAUACCAUGCAAAAUCUAGACAUGAUAUAUUGUCUGCCGAUAAUAAGUCAAAACUAUCACAUAAAUCAAAAAGGAAAAGAAAACAAAGUUAUCAAUUUAAGGAUGUGGAUCAUAUUGAGUCUUCACCUUAAACCAAGCUUGAAAUUAAAUUAGUCUAUCAUGAUUGAACUAGGGGUAAACUGAUAAUUAUAUUAAAACACAUAGAAAAUACAAGAUGGAAAGAGAAUUAUAGCAAAUGGAGCUCAAAUUUGGAUUCAAACCUAUCAAAUUAGGGGGAAGCCCCUCUUUAUAGAUACAACUAGUAAAUUAUGGCCAUCAUAUGAAAAUAAUUCAAACAUUCAGGAUUGCGCCGCGUAGUAAGAACUAAAUAGUUGGAACACAUCAUUAGGUUUAAUAACAUGCUUCGACAUCAUCGGCAAUGCCACAUCAACAUUUUUCGGUCCAGUAAAAAGUCAUAGCUUCUAUAGAAGUCUGAGGAUCAUUUUCAAUAAGAAAGAUAUAGAAAUCAUCACCAAAAUUAUUAGCUUUUCUCAUCCAUGUGCUUAUUCUUGAUUUAAUAUUUGAACUUUUAGAAACAUCAAUUAAUGACUCAAUAUAGGAUAAUUGUUUCUCACUCCUUCAUCUUAUAAUACCAAAAAAGUAUAAGCAACACUAUUGUGGGCAUACCCUAUAAGCAUACAUUUAAUAUUUUUUUGUCCCAACCUUGUUCUUUUGGGAUCCAGUUUAAGAACUUUGGCAAGACACCCCUAUACUUUGAGGUAUGAUAAAUUAGACUUAUAACCUCUCGACAAUUCAUAGAGUGUCUUACCUAUUUUCUUAUAAGGUAUUUUGUUUUGAACAUGACAAGUAGAUAAUAUCGCUUCCCCCACAAGUUCAAUAAAGCCUUAGAACUUGUUAACAUCGCAUUUACCAUAUUCUUCAAAGUUCUAUCUUUCCUUUCAGCUACACAAUAAGGAGAUGUCACUUCAUGGAUGAUACCGUGAUUCUCACAAAAAGCACUUAACAUGUUUGCAUUAUACUCACCUCCUCUAUUAGUUCUUAAUUUUUUAAUUUUUUUAGUAAAUUGAUUUUCAACCUCAAUCUUAUUGAUUAAGAACUUUUGACCAGUUUCAUCUUUAUUUUUCUAUAGAUAUAUUUUUGUAUACCUUGAGAAACCAUCAAUAAAGGUAUUCAUUCUCUUAUCAUGGUCUAUUUCAAAUCACCAAGGUCAUUAUGAAUUAAACUAAGAAGUUUAGUUUCUUUAUAUUGAACUUGUUUACAUGUCUUCUUAGUAGAUUUGGCUUCUACACACACCUUGUAUUUGUCAUUAGAUAUUUUAUUAAUAUAAGAAAAAUUUAUAUGACCAAGUCUCUUAUGCCAAAGAUUAAUAGAGUCAACAAUAUGCAGAAGAAGAAGCCUUUCAUUCAUUAUGACGUUGAAUAUAUUGAGUUUGAAUAGUUAUCCAAAACAAUAACAUUUCACAACUACCAUCCCAUUUUUUGUUAUUACAAUUUUAUUAUCCUUAAAGGACAUUUUUAUCUCAGUUUUGCCUAGCAUAUAAACAGAUAACUAGAUUAUAUCUGAUCUCAGGAGCAUAAAGUACAUUACUCUGUAAGAGGGAUUUCCUAGAUGUAAGUUUAAGAAGAAGUUUACCCUUGCCUAUAACCAAUAUAAACUAAGAAUCGCUAAGGUAAAUGAUUUUUUAUCAUUCUCUCACUAAAGUAUAGUUAAGGAAAGAGUUUUUAUUACUACAUAUAUGUUUAGUAACGCCAGAAUCAAUCACCUAAUCCUUACUUCCAUAUACCAUGUUCACCUCAGAGACAACCACAACAGAAAUGAUGUCAUCUCCUUCCUUUUCAACCAUAUUGGCUUUAGGAGAUUUUUUUGUUGUCUCCUCUACACUGAGCUUUAUGCCUGCAUUGAUUAGCAUAAUGCCCAAUUUUUCCAUAAAUAAAACAAUGGCAUUUCUUUUUAGCAAUGAGUCUUUUAGGGUUAUUAGAGUGUCUAUUAUUAUUUAUUGUUUUUCUUUUUAUCAAGUUGAUGAGUGUUCUCUAUUAUAUUUGCAUGAACAAAAUUCCUUUUGCUUUAUCAAAUGCAUCUCUAAUUCUAUUCUUCUCUUCAAUCCUAAUACAUAUAAUAGCAUCUUUAAGACUCACUUGUUUUUUCUUAUGUUUUGAGCUUUUAAUAUAAUAUUUCCAUGAUUCUAGUAAUUUCUUAAUCAAACAACUAGUUAGAAAUCAUGUAGGAAGAAAAAUUUCCUCCCUUUUAAGAUUAUUAACCAAUAUAUGGACGCCUCCUAUCAGAUAUUUUUUCUUGAGUGGUGCCUAUAUUUCAGAUGCAUUCUUAUAUGGAUGCAUACCUGCAGACUUUAUUACCAGUAUUUUAAAUCUGAGUUUCUUGUCAUAAUCUUCAAUGCCUUAUUCUGGUGGUGAUGACUGGAGAUAGUCAACAAGGUUAUGAACAUCCAGUACGUCGAAGAUAUUUUCUUGCCAGCACUUGAAAUUUUUUAUGUUUCAAUUUUGGAGGUAUCUAGCAAAUUUUUUUCUAGUGACAAUAACGAAAGUAGGAAGAUCGACAAGUCCAGAGGCUGUAGGUGCAACAAGUCCAGCAACCGAUGCAGACAGAACAUCAUUAUAAUUUGGUUUUAAGAUUGUUGGAAAAUUAAGAUGGAAAAGAAUGGAAGUUUAGACAGAAAACUGGAUAGAAACAAUUAAAAAAAAAGUCAAGGCAUGCGAUAACACUGUCCUUAAGACCAAAUUCCAUGCCUCAAGAUAUAAUAUCUUGGUGCAAGAUAGACUAAAGAAGGCAGUUUGAUCUGCAGGAUAAAAUGAUUACUAUCGCGAUGUUGCACUUCAACACAAUAAUUUAGAGUAGUAAAAGGUAAAAUGAUGAAGGCAAAGAAAGCAAUAUAGAACAUGGAGCAUUUUGUAAAUAAUCAUAAUGUGAUAUAAUCGGCUCUUAAAUAGAGGCAUCCUAGUUUUUUUUCUUUUGUAAAUCCAAAUUAUAAUAUACAAGGAUAUAAAAUAAAUCCCAAUUCGAUUAGGAAUAUAAUUCUAAAUAAAAAUAAAUAAAAUUAAAACAAAGGGCAAAAAUGUAAAAGGUGGCCAAGCUCGCGCACAUACACAGUCCCCGUGGGGGGUCCCCCUUACACGUGAGUUAUUGUGCGCGAGUGCCUAAUUAAUAGAUUCCGUAAACGAGCUUCUCUCUUGAACUUGGAUUCGUGUGUGUAGACCUCCUUUUUAUGGGCUUGUUACUACACUAUAUUUGGUUUUUAUAUUCCAUUAAAAUUAUAAAAUUUAUUAAUAUAAAAAAGAGAGAGAGAAGAGAAAGAAAAUAAUUUAAGCUCUUGAUCCAUUAAAAUUUGGGUGUUGUGAUUGCUAGUAAGACAAAAUUACACCCUUCCUCUUUGCAAAUAGACUUGUGAAUAAAUGUAAACAAUAUAUUUUAAUAGGUAGGUGAUAAAUCAAUUGAUCCUAACAUCACACGUUUUUGUUUAAAAAAGAAAGUGGAAAAACUAAAAUAAUGGUAUAUUGUAUUCAAAAGUUGACUAUCACGAAUCAACCAUUUCCCAUCAUUCACUUGAGUUCAAAUUUUAACCUCCAAUUUUAUUUCAGCUUGUAAUGGCAAUUUUGGCUUUAUUUUGUUUUUGUGGGAAAAAAAAAGGAGGCUGAGAAAUUAUUUUGUUGUGCCUAAAUGGAAAAUAAAACAAUUAGUCACAAAGGAAUUUACCAAUGAGUUGAUGUUAUGCUCUCUUAUUUAAAUAAUGUGGGAUAUUGUUAUUUUGAAAGAACUAACUCAAUCUCUAACACUUAUCUGGUCUAGGAUUCUAAGUUUUAUUAAAGUGUAAGGGCUAUUAAACCAUGUAGUUUAAUAGCUUUCACGGUUAUUACUCUAGUAAACCACAAGUUUAAUAGGUUUUCCAAACUUUAACAAAAUAAUUAGAAUCCUGGAAUAGAAUAUUUCUCUCUCUCUCUCUCUCUCUCUCUCUCUCUAUGUGUGUGUGUAUAUAUUUAUUAGUUCUCUGGUUGAAAAUUUUAAAAGGCGGAAAAGUUCGGUUUAAAGUUUUUAAAAUUUUUCCACACUUUAAAAUUCUGUAUUGAAAAUUUUUCCUAUAUAUAUACACAAACAGAGAGACAUACACACGCAUGCUUUCUCCCAAGAUUUGCACAAAAUAAAAUGUGAAUUUAAUAUUUUUUUAUAAUGGCAAAAAUAAUUUUACAAGACUAUGAAACGCCGAAUCCGGACUUACUUUCAUGCGGACGUCCGGAAGGAGUUUGAAUUUGAUGAGAAUGUGUUACUCAUGACAAAAAAAAAAAAAAGUGGUCGACGUACGUAAUAUUGAUAUUAAUAAGAAAUGUUGCAUUUAAUAUUUAUCAACUAAAUGGUUACCCUACCAAAUAUUCUUUGCCAAGUAGCGUGUGGACAUUAAAACUUCAUGCAUGGUUCGUGUGCUCAUGAAAAAUAUGAAUAUGUCAAUCAGUCCUUGUCUCACCACUUAUAAAGAAGAUUCCACAACACUCAUUCACUAAUCACUGGUCACCACCACCACGUGAUAUCACCCGCAGAGGUAGAAGAGGUAGUCGCUUCUGAUUCAACUUUUUCCUACACAAACAAACGGUGGGCCCUCAAGAUGAGUGGGUGUUACAUGCUACAACAGUAUAGUACAAUUUCAGCAAUGCCAAGACACAUUUCGGAAUGUCAAAGUGAUCUUGUCCAAGAACAAAAAGGACAAUACGGUGGCUACAUGAAUUAAUUUCAGAUGAAGAUUUGCAACUUUAAUUGAAUCAAUGCCACAGGCAAGUCCUUAUUUAAGAGAUUUACAUGGUGUUCUCAGGCGUGUAGUCGAAUAGCUUUCAAGUAACUUUAUUUAAUUGCGCGUCCGGAAUCUAAAUUUAAGAAAGUAGAAUGUUAAAAAAGAUUUCAAAAAAAAAAAUUCGUACAAGAAUAUUAUACAAUCAAUGAGGUUGUUGGGACAAAUUAAAGUGUUUCUUCACUAAUCUAUUAUUUUGUGAAUAAAAAAUAUAUUAUCUUAAAAUUAUAAAUAUAUGUAAUACGUAGGCAUUGUCAGAGAUGGUUCCAUGCCAAACUAAGUAAUGAAAUUAAUUUUUUUUUUCUCAUUACAUUCUUCACUCUCUCGUUAUCAUUCAUCUACUCUCAUCCUAAUUUUUUUUUUCCAACCAAACAUGCGUGUAAUGCAUGUAAGAGGAGUUGCUUCUACACGUGCACACAAAAAGUGAUUAUAGAAAUCCUGGUUAUUAAUUAAUGUAAACAAAAUCAGUAAAGAUCUUUCGGUUGUUGUAACCAGGAAUUGGUCGGCGGCGUUGGGGAAGUAUGAGGUUCGAACAUUCUCACUCAAAGAAUUAAUUUAAUAUAUUUCAUCGAAGGCUUCCGCUAAAUUGUGGCAAAAAAUUGGCUGCUUAGAACCUAAAUAUGAUUUUUUUCGCCCCUUUUUACUAAUCAUUUUCGAAAAAGACUGGUUGUCUUAUUUUUACGGGGAUCAUUCUUGAUUUGCCAGGGGUGGAAAUGAGCAUUGCUUGAAAAUUUGCUCCAAUGAGAGAGAAAGCAUAUCCAAUAACUAGUGUAGAAUUCUCUAUCUAUAUUGGUAAUGGAGAAAAAAUAACGAACUCUAUUUAAUUAUUAUUAUUUUAAGGUAAGGGUGGAUAAAAUAAAAUCAUUUUUUUAGUUCCUAUUUUUUCAAUAUUCAAACUCACGUGACCAAAUAAAUAAAAUUAAUUACAAAUUACUAGGAAUUUUUUUUAUUAUUUUUAACAAUUCUAGGUCCAAAAAAAUUGCUGCUAAAAUUUUAAGAAAAUGUUAACGAUUAUGGAAGAGAUGACUCCAGUUUUUUAAUUGUUAUUUUUUUUUUCAAAAAGAGUGAUCAUUGAUGAGUAGAAAUUCUUAGAAAACGAUUUUAAUAAGAUUCAUGUAUGUUUUCGUCUUCUAGUUUGUGGUGCAAAGUCAAGCUUUCCUUCGUUGAAUGAAUAUACAUUAAUUUGAAAUGAUGAAGUCUUAAUGUAUUUGACCAUAAAAUAUCCAAAAAUGUGUGCCAAGAGAAUUUAUAUAUAAUAGAAAAAAUGUUAUUUAAUUAAUGAACGUGAAAUGAGAAGAAAUUUCCACGAACAAAGAGAAACACAUUAUGUGCAUAAACUUUUUCUUUACAUCAUCUUGCAUUUUACACUAAGUAUAUAUCAUGCACGACCUACACUCAUUUAAUAUUUUUAUCCAAAAAAGAAAAAGAAAAGGAAAAAAGAAAAAGAAAAAGUUUUGUCGUUGAUGACUAUGACCCAAAGGAAGUUUCAUGGCACGUUUAAAUUUUGGUGUAUAUAUAUAUGUGUAUGUGUGUAAUGAACAAUGAGUGUGUAUAAUUUAUGCAGACAAAAGUUAGUUGUACGUCGUAUACUAAAUAUUGAAUAUUGCAUUGGUCAAAUUGUCAUAUUUUUAUUCAAAUACAGUAUAUAUAAAGCUGAUAGAUCAUAGACCAUGAAUCAAUAGAAGCUUUUGGGGUGCAACUUGAUCUAGUAGAUGGAUCAUUUAUCCUUUCCUCAUCUAAAUUUUGUCAAGAAAUAUAAUUAUGCCAAUUAUGAUUUGAUGGUUAACAAAUCUUGAUGACAACGCGACGGUAAAGUUUUGUAACCAUGGGAACGAGAAAUUAAUCAUAACAUUAAUUUAUUGUCAAAUUCCUUCCAUAGAUGUUUGCUUAACAAACAAGUUUUAUGAAAUAUUCCAAUCAUAUAUAUUAAAAAAUAAGGAUAUUAAAAGAAGCCUUGGGAUUUCUCAGUCGAGGCUGGGUUCCUUUUUUAUUGGCAGAUGUUGAUAUUUUUAACACUCAAAGAAAACUAGAGUAAUAAGGGCACACCUAAACACCAUAUCGUUAGAAAUUAAUCCAAUAAUUAAUCAUAUUAAUUAAAAAAUAAUGACAGGAAAUUGACCACAUGGGCAUUAAAAAGAAGGAUCCAAAGACAGCUUUCAUAAUUGUAAUAUGGCUUGAAUUAGGACACGUCGGCAUUGGUUUGAGCUAGCAAUUUGAAUAAUGUCUAUUGUUUGUUGGCCUACAAUUUUAAAACAUAGCACAAAACUUUUGGUACUUUUAUGACUUAUCAUCAACCGUGCACAUGAGAUAUUGAAAAUGCUUCAAUUGAGUAAUCGGAGAAACGCUAACUGAUUCAAUCACAAGAAGAGGCCAAGAAAUAAAAGGACCAUCUAGCAUGUAAGAUAAUCACUUCACGGUCCAUUCAUUAUUCAAAACCGAUUUGAAGUAAAAUAGUAAUAAUAAUCUUGCAAAUUAAGCUGAAAUACAAAUGUGAUAUCCGACAAGAUAUUAUCACAAAAUAUAAAAUAUUAAGUGGUUAUUUAUCUUAUUAUCUCAUUUUCACAUGAUAAAUUCAAGUUGUGUGCAGUACUACUCUAGAGGAGUUAAAGAGAGUGUAAUCAAAUCCAGAGAGAGAUUUACAGCUCCAAUAUUAGAGUGAAUUUUGAUAUAAUAGUUGCCAGGAAAAAAAAAAAAAAAAGAGUUUAGGCCCCAAUUUCCAGGGAAAUUGAACACUUCUCCCUUUAUAAGAAGCUCAUUUACCCGCAUCAAAAGCUAUGCUUCCCACAUUUUGUCCUGCUCCACAACCACAAAGCCCUUAAUUGCCCAAAUGGAAGUAUCACUCAAUACAGAGAAUGAAGCUCAAGCCACCACAAGUUCUUCUCAUCCAUAUUCUGCCAGAGAAUCAACUUCAUCUUCAUCUUCUUCACCGACAAAGACUGUAAAGAGCUUUAAAAGAAUUAUUAUUCAAGAAGAAAAAACUAAAACUGCUAGCGAUAACGAUCACCAUGAAAGCAAGACGAGAAAGGUGAGUGAUCUGAAGCAUCCAACUUAUAGAGGAGUAAGAAUGCGCCAAUGGGGGAAAUGGGUAUCGGAAAUAAGAGAGCCAAGGAAAAAAUCAAGAAUCUGGCUCGGCACUUUUGCUACUCCUGAAAUGGCAGCUCGAGCCCAUGACGUUGCUGCUCUUGCCAUCAAAGGCCACUCUGCUUACCUCAACUUCCCUGAGCUUGCCCACGAACUUCCCCGGCCGGCCACCUCGUCCCCUAAGGACAUACAAGCUGCCGCCGCCAAGGCAGCCGCCAUAGUAAGCCUCCCGAAAGGCCAAGAACUGACAAAUCCUCCCUCUCCGGCCAGCACUGUGACUUCUCAUGACACUCAAGAAUCUGCAAGCUCGCCAUUAUUAAACAACAACGACGACGAUGAUGCAUUUUUUGACCUGCCUGAUCUUUUACUCGAUGGUAGGCACCAAAUGGAUGAGUUAUGGGACUCAUUUUCAUGGCAGCAGCUGACUGAACCUGUCUCAGAGCCUGUUGGUUUUGGAUUCUGGUAUGAUCAGGAGCCUUGUCACUAUAAUUCAUGAAUUAUAUCGUAAAUAACAACCCGUCAAGUUAUAAAUUAAUUAAUUAUAUCAUAAAUAACAACCCAUCAAGUACAAGUCAUUGUAUAUAAGAGAACAAAUGUGAAAGUUUAAUUUCAUGCUUCUGAUAAGAUCUCAUGGCUUUAAACUUUAUGCUGUUUCUGUUUAUCUUUUCGAGCAUUAAUUUAAUACUCGAACUUGUUAAAUUCAGCAGUAAUUCCUGCGUGCUAUAUACUUGCAAGGAAAUGCUACCAUAUCACUCAUCAGGUUGUGAUGAUGACAGCAUGACAAUUCUGUUCUGGGUUUCAUUAUCUCAUUAUUACACUUGCAAGAAUAUUUCGGAUUGCAGAACAAAUUAAAGUACCGUUUCGUGUGAGGAAGCAUCUGGGUAGAAUCAAGAAUUAAUGUCACUGCAUUCAACUCAUUAAAGUCAUUAAUAUUUUGAAUGAUGCGCUUUAAUUCUUAUCCAAAUAUUGGACUAGAUUUGAUUACUUAAUUCGUACUGUAAACAUUUGGACUAUGUCAACAUAUAAAUUGAUCUCUAAGACGACAUUGCAAUAGGAAUCUGAUCAUAAAUUUAGUGGUGCCACGGUUACAACUUUUGAAAAUUAUAAUAAAGAAAAAGUUACCUUCACUCCCGAUCGAUGUCCGCACAUUUUAAAAUAUAUAUUGAGUUACACACGGCAGCGUAUGAUUUAUUAAAAAAGAAAAAGAAAGCUCCCAGUCUGGCUCACAAGCUAAGGAGAAGAAAAUAUCUUACUCGCUCUCUUUCAAAUUUUCAUUUUCAUUUUCCAUUUGUUGAGUGAAAGCGAAGGGAUUAGGAUCCAUUAGCGUAGUAAAUUUUUGCCUUCGCUAAAUAUCAAAGUUGGUGGACCACAUGUUGUUGACCGGACGGGAAAAUGAAAAUGUUUACAAUAAAUUUUAACGUCGAUUUUGACCGAAUAAAAAUGUUGAGGACGAAUUAGAAAAAUCACAGCACAAAAAGAAUCAUUAAUUCCAGGCUGUAAGGCUGUCUGUACUCUGUAUACAGCGGAUAAAUCUUUCGAUUUAAAGUCUCCAAUCUUCAAUUCCAUCGACCGAUUUGUAAUAUUGAUUGUCUUCUUAUGGCCAAUUAUUAAAGGAAGCGAGCCUUCGAUGUGAAUGUCGCUGUUUUAAAUUAUGAACGUAAAUCGAUUGGUAUGAUAACUAAUUACCACUUAGAGUGAGUUAAAUAAUAUCACAUAAUUUGAUCUAAUUUGUUAUAGUAAUUGGGAUCAUGCUACGGUGCAACUGUGGCACCGUGCCACAAUUGCAUCUAGCCGUUGGAUGCAGUUGGAUUAGUGGAGUUUAGAGUGAGUUAAAUAAUAUCACAUAAUUUGAUCUAAUUUGUUAUAGUAAUUGGGAUCAUGCUACGGUGCCACAGUUGCACCUAAGGUUUUCCCUAGUAAUUGAUACAUAAAUUUUAAGUAUCUCAAUCAAAUAAAUAUAAAAUUAUUUUUAAUAAGAUGAAUCUGGUGCAGAGACAUUUAUUAUAGUCCCAACUUUAAUUUACAUACAUUUUAUAAAAAAAAAUAAGAACGCCUUCAAUAAAAGAGUUUCUAAUUACGCUAAUUAUUAAAGUUAAAACACGAAAUGUUCAAGAGAAAAUGACCAGCUCGGAGUGUGACUCAAGCAUCCAAUGCUGCAAAAGCGUAUUAAAACGUGUAAGUUAUUGCAAGAAUUAAACCACUUGAUAAGGAUAUUUUUGUCCUGGAGGUGAAGAAGAAGAUAAUACCUCUAAUUAAGACCUUAAUGAAAUAAUUAACGUAAAAUAUAUAGGUUAUUUUCAGUGGUCUGAUUUAUUUUUCUAUUUUUUAUUUUCAGUAUUGAAUUGGAAUAUCUCCUUAUUGAUGCCUAUGUGAGGGACAACAAAAUGGCCCGCAUAAAGAAUGAAAAGAGAGUUACCCAAUAAAUAGAAGAUAAGUGGCUAUGGAAGGUCCUAGCUCUCUUUUUCUUUCUUUUGCGUCGGAAAAGGCUUUUUACUCAAAUGAUUAAUAGUAUCCUUUUUAUACUUUUGAUGCAUGAGAGAGAUUCUUAAUUUGACAAAAAUGCACCUUGUAAGUUACUGUAAGGGUAACCGUGGGUAUGAUUUAUCUUUAUCCCAAGACAUGUCGACGAGCAUCCUUUAACAUCAGUGCUAGGUGGUGAGAAAGCUGAGAGAACAUGGAUAGAAAUUAAUUUUUUUCUCUUUACUCACUCUCUCUCUCUAUUAUUUUCUUCAUAUUUUCUCUCAAUGUUCUCUCAACGUUCUCUCAACUUAGCGUUUUUUAAAAUUUAAAAAGAGACUUGGAGUCAAUUCUCUCUUAAUUUUGUGUUAUGACUACAGUUGCCUUGGCCGUACAGCAGCAAAAGAAAAAACCUACAAAAAAUUACCAUUUGGUAUAAGUUUGGCUACUUUGCUUCUUCUUCAUGAGCUUUACUUGAUACAGAAACUGUUUCUCCCAUUUGGUAUAGCGCAAAAGGAAGCCAGUCUUUAAUCUAAAUAAAAUUUAAUGGAUUUCUUAUUGUAAAAUAUGGAAAUAUCACUCAAUAUAUAGAGUGAAAAGGCUCUACCGUGAUUUGAGCAAAAGGGUCGGAACAUUACUUUAUUUUUAGUGCUUCAUAAAAUCCAAGGGCCUGUUCAGUAGCGUUUUAUGGAGUCCAUUUUCAUUUUUGUUUCAAAAAUUUGAGUGAAGUACGAGUUCGGCAAUUGUAUUAUGAAAGCACACUCGAAAAAUGCAAAAUACAAGUGGUACAAAUUAGUCAUGUAACAGGAAAUAACUUUUAGGCGUUCUCCGCAUUUUGUAAAACAAAUUAUAAAAUAUCCCUUUAAAGAAAUUAAAAACAUGCGACACGAAUCUAUGUCCUUCUUUGCAAUCUGUUGAGAGGUUAAAGACGACGAGGCAACAUGGGGAUGGGUUGAAGAGAUGAUCGAUGACAGAAGGGGGUCAUCAUCGACGGUGGCAAGUGUGGUUGCGGUGAUGGGCGGGAUUUGAGAUCUUGGUCGCAGGUUUCGCUUCCGUUUUGGCCGUGAAGGGGCUGUGAUGGUAGCUGCUGGUCUGAAGGAAGGUUGUCGGUGUGUGGGGGAGGUGCCGAUGGUGGCAAAGCACCACCACCGGCGGGCUUUGAAACCAUGGGCACCUGGUCAAGAUCGGUCAACAGUAGGAAAUUUGAAUUUGUUUUAACUCAAUAAAAGUAGAUUAAUUAACUUUGUUGUGAAGGGUAGAUGAUAGAGUUGGCAAAAUUUAACAUGAGUCGAUUAGGUGACAUGAACACGACAUAAAUAAAUGGGUAUAAAUAAUUAAAUUUGACACGAUUAUUAAAUGGGUUGGGAUCAAGUUGACAUGAUUUUUUUUUUUGUGUCAAGUUAUAAUUAAAGGUUUUGACUCAUUUAUCUGAACAAUGUCACGAUUAUAUUUUCUAUUUUAAAUUAAUUUUAAGGUUCUUAUUAUCAAAACUCAAAUAUUGGACAUAAUUAUCUCUUUUUUAUUUUAAUUGGAAGACGGACAUAUACACAAUGUUUUAUUUAUAAAAUUUUAUAUAAAUUUAAAAUUUUAAUAGUGUAAAUAUGUAAAAUAUUGAUACACAUAUAUAUAUGUGAUAUCGAUAUAUAGUAUUAUUUACAUAUAUACAAUUUAAACUUUAAAUAGUGUAAAUGUGUAAUAGUUUGAGGGGGCGUGUGAUAUUUGUUAAAUAUAUAGAUAUUAAACGGGUUAUUAGAUAAUCCGUUUAUUUUUUGUGUCAACUUUGAGUCUUAAUAUUUUGAUAUGAUUAUUAAAUGGGUCGUAUUUGAGUCGACUUAAAUUUAACAUGACAUGAAAUUGACAUGAUACGAACAUAACUUCGCCAGCUCUAGUUGAUAAUGUCAUAUUCUCAAUACACUGCUGACAUUUUCAUUGCAUGUGUGCCUACUGAUACGAACCAAUUUGGUUUCCUUGAAGCAGUUGUCGGAUCUAAAUUGUAUAGAUGCUUGUGAGCAUUUCAUUUCAUAUCAAUGAUGUCAUACAGGUUGUUAUGUUGUUAGCUCUGAAUGAUGGGACCAAGUUGAUUGUUCUAAGAAAUGUAAUAAUAUAAGUCCCAUGUAUAUAUCUAAUUGUAAAUAUCAGUGUAAUGACCUGCUUAUAAGUCCCAUGUAUAUAUCUAAUUGUAAAUAUCAGUGUAAACCAACUGAUGCUUAAUCAGUUUCAAUAUCUCUGUAUAAUACAGUAACCAACUGAUGCUUAAUCAGUUUAAAAAAAAAAAAAAAAAGAGCUUGGAAAAUAAUUAUUUUGUUUAAAUCAUGUGUUGUAAUAUAUAUCUUAAUUAUAGUGUAAAAACAAUGACAAUAUAAAUUUUUUUUAUAUUAAUGUUAAUAUUAAAUUACUUAUGAUAUGUUUGUGUAUGUAUUAGUUCAAUAAUUAUUUGAUUGUAAAUAUCAUUUAAUUAUUUAGUAAAAAUUAUUUUUAAAAAUAGUACUAUCAAACACAUAUAACAAUACGAACAGGCGCUGAGAAGUCAGGAAGUCACUCGCCGGUCAUUAUGAAUCUGAUGGCAUGUCGACAAACCGCGCUGGCCUGUGCGUGCGUGGAAUGACCACAGUCCAGGCCGCGUACGGAUUGAACGGAGCAUGCCACCGCAUAAGAUCUUUAUUUUGGAGUGGGCUAAGUGCCUUUAUUUUAUUACAUGUCCCAAUCUAAAUUCUUCUGUCAUGUCCACUUGGAUCAUUUACUUAUCGCAAACAUUAGGAUGUAAUUAUUGAUAGACAAUUAAGAGAAUUUGACGCAUCGUCCAGCUGGGAUCACUAUCUAAUCAAUUAUUGGGAUUUUAUGCGGACUGCAGAUACACCCUUUUUUGUACUUUAAAGCUAAUUGAUAAAUUAUUAAAAUUCUAACACAUGGGCUUGUUAAUAUAUGAAUUUAAUUAUGGUAUAAUUGUGAUAUCAUAUUAUAAUUAUUUUUAAUUAUUAUGAGAAUAAAUGGUUAGUACUAUAGUUACACUCAAUCAUUAAAUUCAAUCAAUGCUGGAAAGUUGAACCUAUAUAUAUAAUAUAACUCCUAAGAGCUCGUAGAUAUAUAUUAAAUGAUGUUACCAUAGUAUCAUUGAGUGAUAUCAUGCAUUCUAGAGAAAGAGAACCUUAACUUAAGGCAAACACUACCUUACAAUCAAUGUAUGGUACAUCCCUCACUCAUGAACAGUAUAUGAAUGAGAUCCACUCACUAUUUAUGUGAGGAAUGUACCAUACAUUGAUUGUAAGGUAAUGGAAUCCUUAACUUAAUUAAUCUCAAUUUUUUUUUUUUCUUGACAAAGGUCAGUCGGAAUAAAGCCAUACUCCAUAAAAUCAUGUAUAGGACAAUUAAAUUUGAUAAUAUAAUAUUGCCGACAAGGAAUUCACCGUGCGCCACCACGAAUAGACCGAAAAUGUAUUUACAUGGGAACCUGAGAAAGAGCACGAAAUGUACUCGCACGACAAAACAUCACAUGCACUAUACUUUAUAGUAAUUCAAUAUUUUCUUUUACAAAGAAAAAGAAAAAGAAAAAGCGAAAUAAUUAAUGAGGAGAUAAAGGAGUAAAGAGUGACGAAUCAGAGAGAAAGAAGAUGAUGCCCCAACGAAAGCACAAACCCUAAACUUGCAAGACAAGAUAGAGGACCUGUCUAUAUUCUUGCAAGAAAGAAUAUGCUAUCACUACACACUACAUUCCAUUUUCAGGAAAUUACCAGACAGAUCGUCAUUUUCAGUGUAAUUAAUGUGCUUAUAAUUUCAGGCACGUCCAGCUUGCAAGUGUUCGCUCCUCUCCUCUAACUAAGUUACAUGUGUCCUUUCCUCUCAAAAAAGGGAAAAGUCGCAUCAUUACCUGUGUCCCAUUGUCUGUUAAGGGCAGCUACUGAGAUGGUGAUGCUCCGACAUAGGGCAGCCUCUUGAACCGUUAAGUGCAUAAAACUGAACAUCGUGCAUUUAACAUAUCCAUCUCUGUUAAGAUGCAAGAAAAAAAUCCAUUAUUGUCCUCUUCAAGAAAAAAUAAAAUUAUAUAAUAUCCAUUAUUCUAAGUUCAUUUCAAAAUUCGGACAUUCUCUUUAUUGAUCUUUAUUGAUCCUAUUGACCAAUAACUUCACAAAAUAAUAAUAAACAACUAAUUUCCAGGCCGUUGCCUGUGCAACUUUUCGCUUUCUGGGAAUGCAAUUUUUUUUUCGAUUGACCGAAGUUCUGUCAAGAUUAUCCUAACUCUUUACACUAUCCCUUAAUGAAUUAAAAUUUUAUUCAGAACUUGUCUUGGCGUUUAUUUGCAAAAGUUUAUGAAAAAAAAAAAAAAAUCAUCCUAUUCAAAUAGCUAGUAUGUUUCUAAUUCUUUUUUCUCUCUCAAACAAAAUCUUUUCUUGCUAAACAAUACUAAAUUUUUUUUUUUAUAUUUAAUACAAUUUAAACUAUAAAUAUUCCAGUGAACAAAGGCCACUAAAAGAGAGAAGUCUAAAACAAAAUCAUUCAAUUGUUCAUCCUAAAAAGAGAUAGUUCUUACUUUUGGCUAUUACGGUGGGUUUCACAAGAUGCUAAAGUCAAAAGGCACACAAAUUUGAUAACUAAAAAAAAAUAAUAAUGACAUGAAUACUUUUUUUUUUUUAUUAUUUGAACUCCACAUGACUAAUUAUUAUUAAACAAGCAUGAAUGUCCCUAUAUUAUAGGUUAAAUAUCUGUUUAGUUUUUAUAUUUUAAAAAAUUGUAGGAUUAUUUGAACCUAUUAAAAUACUUAUUAAAUCCAACUACUUAACAAACCCAUCAUCAUAAUUUAAAAUUUUAUGUUUUACUUGCCAAAUCCAUCUCAAUACCAAUUAUAUCUUUACUGAACAAAACUAUUAUAAUUUGUGCAAAUUUUUUUCACAGCUUCUCUGUCCUUUCUCUAUCUCUACAAGUAUUUAUGGAUUUUUCUCCACCAUUAAAUGCUAAGGUUUUACUCUCAUAUUCAUUUUUCCAUCCAUUGUUUUUUGUCCCAUUAACCUUUGAAUGUAUUUUCGUUAUUACACCAAAUAACAAAAUCAUAAAUCACACCAAAAAAUAAAUAAAUAAAUAAAAUUCUCCACUAUUUAUUUGCACUAUAUUCUCACACACGAAUAUAGAAAUCUUGACUAAAAACAUACCCGAGUAAUAAGAAAUUGCGUUAGAAAGAACUUAUUACCUAAAUCCAACUUCCUUUAAUCUUUAUUUCCGUAGCAUGUGAGAAACAAAAUUCAAAUUCUAUCAUCUUUAAACUUUGGAGUAAGGCCAGAUCAAGCAAGCAACUAACUUUCAUUCCUCCUGCACUUUCCUUCUUUCAUUGACAAAGAAUAUCUCUUAAGCAAUUAUCCUCUACGAUUCCAAUUAAUUCAAUACCAUUGAAUAUGAUCCAAUCAAUACCCCAUUGAACAAAGAGAGAGAACAAUGCAAAGGAGAUGAAGAUGGAAAGAGCCUUUUUUUGAAAAAAAAAAAUUAAACAUAUUAUCUUGUCUAUAUUUGUAAUUUGCUUUUGAGAUAUUUUAGUAAUAAAAAAAAUAAUUAAAAGGUGGGUUUAGUGAGUAUUUUGGUGGUUCAAAUAGCCUCAUCCUUUGAAAAAUAUCUCAAAAUACUCUUAUUAUUGAAUUAUGUGACACUAUUGCCCUUAUUUUUUACCUUUUUUACAAUUUUAGGAAUAUUAAUUAACUAAUCCAUGGUAAAUAACUAAAAGUUAAUUAAUAAAUUAACCAUAAUUAUUUAUUAGCAAAUUAAUCAAUAAUUAUUGGUAUGAACGAACUAGUGUUUUUUAUACCCUUACGACAAUCUUUUAAUUGUUUAAAAUAAAAUAAUUAUGGCAAUGUUUAAUACCUUGCAAUUAUAAUCUUGCUAAUAAUUAUUUAUAAAAAAAAUAAUCCUAUAAGUAAAAUAACAAAAAAAAAAUUGCAUUUAUUUUUACUUUACUUUUAAGGUUAAUUUGUUAACUAAUUAUUCUGUAGAUAAAUUGAUUAAUAUUUUCAAGAAUAUUGUUGUAAGGGUAUUACUAUAAAAGCAAAGAAAAAGUAAGGACACAAAUGUUACAUACUAACAACAAGAGUUUUUUGAGAUAUUUUUUAAAAUACGGGAAUUAAACGGACACUUAGGCUAAAAUAUAGGGAAUAAACAAAUAUUUACUCGAACAAGCAACUUCAAACGUAUUAAUUCUAUAUUAAUACAUGUUCGAUUAAACCCGGUUGACUAGUACCUAAUUUACGUAUACAGUGUCGUUUGAUUAGCAGUUAUUUAGCAUUGUGUAAGACCAAACGUGCAUUUUAGAUUUUGCAAACAUAACAUCUCCUCAUGAGGAUCACUAACAAAUGAAAGUUCAAAGCAAACAACAUUCAGACCCUGAUUAAUUCUUCUGCCCCCUAGUUAGUGUCCUGAAUAGUCGCCAAUUACAUUCAAUCUACAAGUCGAAAGGAACAUUUCAGUGUUGCCGGGACGGACAAGCGGGGGCUAAUGUCCCUAUAAAUUAAAAAGAAAAAAAGCUUCUUUCCUGUCCGGUCAAAGCCUUUGCCUUAUGCCUCCUUUAAAAAGUUACAAAAUAGAUCCUAAUGGUUUCCAGCCUUUUUUUUUCAAGGGUCAAAACUCUCCAUCCUAAAAUUAAUAUUUUUUUUUUUUUUGAAGAAAUUUCUAUCCAUCAUUGUUCAAAGUUAUCAUCCCCUUUAAAUAAAAUUUAUAUCUCCGUCUUUAUAGUUGCAACAUCUUUCUCUAUGAAAACAAAUAAUAAGAGUAUCACAUCAAAUUCAUCGAGCCGUACGGUCACUCUCAAUUAAAUUAGUGAGAGAUCAAUAAUUGGAGAAAAAAUGGGACCACAUUUUUCUUAUAAUCGACUACUACUCUACUAAACAACUGGAGAAAAAAAUAGGACCAUUUUUUUCUUAUAAUCGACUACUACUCUACUUUGGACCGCACAAAAGUAUAUGGAAGAGAUAAUUUGAGCGUGCAUGGCAUGGUUCAUGAGUGAAAAUAAAAAUAAAUCGGGCGUGGUGUUUAAGUUGUUGACGUUGCGGUCCUGUGACGUUGGAAACAAGUGACAGACGGUACAGGCUUAGUGGGGGCAUCAACUGCGCAUGAAUUGGCACAAUCUUGGCAUCUUCUUAUUAUUAUGCAUGACUUGUAAGUGACGUUGCAGUAGCACACUAGCACAUUGCCUUUCACGUUUCAUCAAAUUUGGGGGGCGACAGUCGAAUAAGACAUUGAGGAUUCUCUUCUUUUGAAAGGUAUCUCUUUUUCAGCAGCCUUGUGAUGUAACAUGAGACAAAAAUUAAUAUAUUUUUUGUCUUUCUUCCUCCAAUUUGCUUUGCUUUUUUUUUUUUUUUUUUUGAAGUUUAAAAUUUCAUUUGCGUGGAUCAUGUAAGCUAGCUGCAUGAGACUGGCCCAACGUUUACCAAUCCUUCAACAAACUGGCUCAAUUUUGUGGGCCUUAAGAACCAUCUGGAACCAGUUUGGAUUUGAAAUAUGUCGGGCUGAAACUGCAGUGAUUUUAUCUCGGCAUUUCUCUAAGAACCUCUUAUGACUCCUUUUCUUUAUUUACCCCCUUAAAAUACUUUAAAAAAGUAAUAUAUGUUUCUUAUGACACUUCCCUUAAGAGUAAUGUUAUACAUUCUAAUUUUUUAUCUAAAAAAUAAUCUCAGAUGAUGUGGCACUCAUCAGUUGAUUGGUGAGAUGAUACGAUUAAUUUCACUUAGAUUUUGUAAAGAAUUACUAACUACUCAAUAAAUUAUGCGUCGACAUUUGGGAUAAAAUGUGGGAUAUCAUUACUCAUGUAAUGAUUAAGAUAACUUUAAAUAAAAUAUUGACUAUAAAAAAACCGAAUAUUUUAUUGUUCAUUUUCUCAAGUUCAAAUUAUGGCAAUGGAGAAAAUUUUCUUCCAAGUACUUUUGGGGUGUGUUUACUUGUAGGAUUAAGGAAUCAGAAUUCGGAAUGAAAAUGGUUGAUAGUAUUUACUUGUUAAAGUAGAAAGAGAAAUGAGAAUAAUAUAUAUGGAGCCUACAUAUUUUUUAGAUUAAAGAAUGGAAACUUAAUUCCUAUGGAAGAGUUGGAAAUCAAAUUUCUCAUUCCUUGAACUCUCCAUUUUAUCUCAUAAAAUUUUCAUAAUUUUCAAAUUGCUCUCAAUAAGUUUUGUCACUUUUAUAUUUUAGUCCCCGAAAAUUUUAUAAUAUUUAUAAAUAGGUCCUUCAUUAUUUAACAACAACAGCAUGAACAACAACAACAAUUAAUUAUUUUGAAUAAUAAUAAUAAAUAUAAUCACAAUUACUAUAAUAAAUAAUGACAAUAAUCAAUUAAGAUCAUUUUAGUAACUUGCAAUAAUCUAUUGUGAUUCUAAAGACAAAGUAAAUAAUUUAUUUUAAUUUCUAAUCUCCAUUACGAUUCAUUCAAUUCCAGUUACCGAUUAACGGAGGCACCAAUAUUUUAUAGAAAAUAUAAAACGAGUCUAAAUAAUUACACUAUAUUAUACCAAAGUUGAUUUUAGCAAGUUUUAACAUUUUUUUAAUUAUAAAUGUUAGGUAAAUUUGUAAUGUAAUUUAAAAAAAUAUAUAUAAUUGUGUCAUUUUUCUAUGAUGUUUUGUCCUUCAAAGUAGAAAUCUUUUUUGUAGAAUAGGUUUUGGCAUUUACUUGUUUAUUUAUUUUGUUUAAUUGCAGUCGUGGUACCCCCUUUUUUUUUUUUUAAGAUGUCGUUGAUGUUCAUUCUAGAGGUUAAUUUAAAAUCCUAUCCCAUGAAAGUAACACCAACCUAUAAUUUACAAAUUGUAUCCAUCAUUCCUUGAAAAAAAAAAAAAUUGAACGUAUCACAAUUUCAAAAGUCUUCAGUUGUUUCAUUCACAUAAACAAUGUGACCAUCAACAUAGGAUAAAUUUUAACUACGUAAUUCAUUCAUCUUGCCACAUAAUUAUAAUAAUCUAAUAAUAAAUAUAAUACAUGAUUUGAGAGACAUAUUUUGUAUUCAAUUUACGUGGCAAGAUCCCGACCCUACAUCUCCGGACAAGUCGAGAUUAUUCCCGCCCACUUUGAUCAAACCGUUUCCUCGAUUCCCUGCCGUUAUCGAACCGGAACAUUUUAAAUUUUAAUUUAAACAUAGGGCCCACAACCAAUCACAAUCGUCAACAAGAGAGCCCUAGUUUGCCGCCACGUACCCAUGGUUCAACCCCAUUAAAACGCGCCACAUUUGCCCCGCUGCCUCGUUUAAACCCCCUUUUGGCUUCCUCUCUCUUCUUCGAAGGGGAAUCAAAACCCUAAGGUCUGAGGCAUACCAUAUUACCGUAUCAUCCCUAAGCAUUGAGGCCUACACACUGAAAUCUCCCACCCUUUAAAACUAUGAUCCCUAACUCCUACACCGUCGAUUCGAUCUCCCAAUCACAAGACCUCGCCUCCAAGAUCAUAUCAUCCUCCACUCCGCAGCAAAUCAUCUCCGCCUGCGCCACCAUUGAAACCUUCCUGCACUCGCGCUCGUCCGAUCAGUCCCGCCACUUCUUCUCCAUAACCUUCCCAACUCUCAUCCUCAAACUCUUCGGCUUCACCAACGACUCCUCCGCCACGUCACCUCCCCAAUGUUCAAGCUGGAUCGACAUUGUUUCCUCAUCGAACGAUCCUGAUUUCGCCUCUAGGGUUUUUCAUCUCCUCUCGCCCAACGGCGUCGUUUUCAACUCGAUUUUCUCCAUUGACCGUAAAUCUCUGGUCAAAUUCGUCUUCCCGACAGAACGAUUACCGGAAUGGGCCCGGUUCAUGCUUUCUUCUGAAAAGGACGUUAAAAUUCUCUCAAAUUUGUGCCCGCUGUUCAAAGGUAAAGUGAAAGCUGAUUCAAUUAAGAGUCCAGGUUCAGUGUACCAGGUUCAGUUAAAUGUUUUCGAGUAUUACAUGUUUUGGUUUGCUUAUUACCCAAUAUGCAGAGCAAAUAAUGAAAACAAUGUUGACAAUCUCUUAACUAAAAGGACUAAAAAGGAGAAAUUCAGGUUAGAGAAUUGGACAUAUUCAAUUCCUGGGUUUUCGAGCAAUGCUAAGCGUGUACCAGAGCAAAAAUUUGAGUGUAAUCUUUACUUACGCCUAUUGUAUGCAUAUUUACGUGAAUUUGUGCCUAUUAGUGAUCUAAAUAUGCACCAGCACCCCUAUCGUAGCUCACUUUUGAAUUACACUAGUGGUUAUGAUGGUUCAGUUUUAUUGCGUGCGGAGUUUCUGGUUGAUGCGUUUCUGAACUAUUGGCUGAUUGAUAAUGAUUUUUCGCCUUUGAGUGUUAAUGUGUGCAAGUGGUUUGGUGUGUCACCUCGGUUGUCGGUGGUUUCGAGGGAGAUUCCACCGACAAGUGGGUUAGGAGAGUUGGUCAAGUUGUUUGUUAAGUAUCUGAAUUUGAGUUCAGUUUGGGCUACGAAUCAGUGUGAGAGUAAUGUGGAGUGUAGUGGGAGUCCGAAGUGGAUGGUUCCAGAUUCACCUUCAGUCUUGUUUGAUAGCAGUGUGAAGAGUGGGGAUUUGGCGUCAUUGGUGCCUUGUGUGUCUGCUGUCGGGUCUUGGAAUGUGUGGAUACAAAGGCCAUUGUACAGGUUUAUUUUGAGGACAUUCUUGUUUUGUCCGGUGGGGACUUCGAUCAAGAAUGCAUCUGAGGUGUUUUCCAUCUGGGUUUGUUAUAUGGAGCCAUGGAGUAUUACCAUUGAUGAUUUUGUUGGAUUUGAUGCACUUAUAAAUGGGUGUACUAAGAAUGCUAGGAAGGAGGAUUCUCAAUCCCAGGAUUGUGGUUAUUCGUCUUUGUGGCAGGGCUAUGUGCUGUCAAACUAUCUAUACUACAGUUCCUUGGUUAUGCAUUUUAUUGGCUUUGCCCACAAGUUUCUCCACACUGAUCCUGAAUAUAUUCUCCAGAUGGUAUUGAAGGUUUGUUUUCUAUCCAAAUCUUGGCUGAAUUAAUAUGUCUCAUUAUGGGUAUCUAAACUAUAAAUUUCACAUACAUUAUCCUUUAAAGUUUCAGUGUUGUACCUAAGAUUGUUGAGAUCUAUUUGAGUUCUUGAUCUUCAACGUUAAAUCUUGACUUGACUUUUGUUUAGCUGUGUGGUGAAUUCAUGUUUGCACCGACUGUGUGGCAUUUGGUUUAUUUAUUGUUAAUAGCUUGGUGCCUUAAGAAUUGAUAAGCUUUGAUAAUGUCCGGUUGGUCGGACGGUAUCUCUUUGCUAUGAUCCUUUCUGGUCAUAACUCAAUUUGUUCAGUAAUUUGCAGUAUUAUUUUUGGGAUGAUUUAUCGAUGGCAAGAGUGCAUGCUGUAUUUGAACCUGAUGAUGUACAAUGACUUGUUUGGUUAGCGUCAAAUCAAUAACGACUGGUUUCGUAAGUCACAAAUUAUAUAACCAAUGUUAACAUAAUUUUGGUUCAUUUCUUAUCAAUCUUUCUUCUCUCCUUUUACAUUUUCCCUUUGUUUUUUUUUGGGGGGUGGGGGAAGGGGAAUCAGUAAACAAGUGUUGUUGCUAUAAUCUCUUUCAUAUCAAAGUUUUGCAAACAAUAGCUUCUUAAUAAGGUGUAUUUUUUUUUUCUCUUUCUUUCUUUUGAAGAUUAAUAGAUAUAUGUAUUACAAUAAUAUAUGCAGUAUAGUUGCUGAACCAUGUUAAUGCUCAGUCUUUGUUCUAAUUUUUCAUGUUUCAUUGUUUCUUCUACUGUUUGCUCAUUUGUUUCUUGUUAUCAGGUUCUGAAUAUAUUGACGUCAUCUAGAGAGCUUAUGGACCUUAUAAAGAAUGUAAAUACUGUUUUCCAUGCCGAACAAUCUAGAUCUAGCAAAUCAAAGCUUCAUAGCUUAUACAGAUUUGUUCCUACUAUCCGGGAGCAGUUGGAGGUAUGUUCAUCCAUGCGCAGUUAAGUGCUUUUCUAUUCCAGUUUACUUAGUAAAGAACCAAAUACAAUGUGGCACUAUAUAUUCUAUGUAAAGUUUCUUGUAUGCUGAAGAUUUUGAAGUUGAAAAUUUUAAUGGCAUGUAAUUCUGAGCCAGAUGUUUAAGAUGUCAUGUAUCCUUUGAUGACUUAUCAUUUUCAUGUCUGCUUGAUGUUAUAUAGUUUAACCAUAAUAUUGAUUCUUAAAGGGACUAGGCCAUCAUUUGUCCCAAAUAUAUUGAUCAGCAACAGCGUCUGAUUGUUUAAGCAUCAUAUAUCACUUUAAUGAUUUUUAAAAUUUUUGUUGGUAACUCAAGGACUGGGAGGAUGGUUUAUGUGAGAGUGAUGCAGAUGGAUCUUUCUUGCAUGAAAAUUGGAACAAAGAUUUAAGACUCUUUGAUGAUGGAGAAGAUGGUGGACAACGGCUUCUUCAGGUGCUUGUUUGCUAUGUUAUUUUCUAUAUUAAUUUACAGUAUUAGAGUCUAAUCAAGUGAUCACAAAUUUGUGAUUGCAGUUGUUUAUAUUGCGUGCAGAAGCUGAGCUGCAAUCCUUUUCGGGUGAUAAUCUUGCACAAAACCUUCAGUGUAUAGAUUCUCUGAAAACUCAAAUGAGCUGCCUUUUUGGUGGGCAUGCUAUAAAGCCGAUUGCAUUUUCACUAGAACCAGAGCAGCAACAGCAAUCCCGUGGUGAAAUUUUCAAGCCUAAAAGAGUUGGACACCAUGCAUUGGCUGAUUUCAAGUACAAAGGUGACUGGAUGAAGCGCCCCAUCUCUGAUGAUGAGGUUGCCUGGCUUGCAAAACUGCUUAUUUGGUUGUCGGACCGGCUGAAUGAGAUUCUUGGUCUGAAUCAGCCAAAAAACAAUAGUGAUGUAGGGCCAAAAUGGUCCUAUGUGGAGGUUUCUGGUGAUGUUGUGGGUAAUGUUUAUGGACCGAUGGAGACUAUUAAGACGGCAAUGUAUGCAAUCGGCACCUGGCUUCGCAUGUUGGUUGCAGCAUUUGUCGACCUGAUGAGGAAACAUGGUGUGCGGGUAAAUCUUAGGUUGUUUGCUUCAAAGAAGAUUAUAAUGUUUUUUAUUCUGUUUGCUGUAUUUAGUGUGCUGAAAAAGGCUUUCAGACAUUUUCACAGAGCUUAGAUAAAAGAGUAUAAGAGCAAGAACAUAGGGAGGAAAAAAACAGAAAUAGGUUUUGUUAAUCUUCAAGGUUAACGGUGGAUGAGUUUUGUGCGCAGCCUUCUUGUAAGUAAAGACCGAUAUGUGCAGCAUGAAAAAGUUUAAAUAUUCAGUUCAUAGAUAAGGAUUAGGAAUCAGAAAAGGCCGAAAAUUUUAACCAGGCAGAUGGCAAGUGUACAGUCUAAUUGAUAGGAUCACUUUGGGGGAUUAAAAAAACUACUGGAAAAAGAAUGUACUAAACAAUAUUGAAAAAAGAAAGGUACAAACUUUCCCACCUUUAGUGAGGCAUAAUUCUAUCAUCGAUUAAUCUUAAAACAAAUAUUGACGUAGUGCUAUUAGUUAAUACUUUCAUUACAUUAUUUAUUUUGUAUUAUACGGUGAUUGUUUAAAGGUAGUAUUUAUAUUUUGAAUUGGAGUGAGAAUCCUAGAAUUAGGAGUGUGGAGUGGGAGUGGAAGUAAGUUGUUUACUUACACUGUGGAAUGGGAGCAUGAAAUUAAAAUCAAAAUUCAAUUUAUGUGUUUACAUAGUCUUGAAUUGGUCGUAAAUGAUUUUAAAUUAUAAUUUUACCCUCAUUUAGAGAAUUGCAGUUUUUAAUUACAAAAUUAAGUAAAUUAAUGUUAGAGUUGAAAAUUGGUCUUCAGAAUUGGAAGAAAUACAAAAACUUAAACAAAAAAACAUAAAGCUCGUAAAUUCACAUUAAGUAUGAAAUGAAAUUAAAAAAUUGUAAAUCAUACAUAGGACAAGAAAAUUGACGGAAGAAGGGGUAAAUUAAUGUUGGAGUAGUAAAUUGAUCUCCAGACUAGUAAGAAUUACAAAAACCUAGAAACAUGACAUAAAACUCAUAAAUUGACAUUAAGUGUGAAAUAAAAUAAAAAAUACGUAAACCACACAUAAAACUAGUAAAUUGAUGGAAAAGAGAGUAAAUUAAUGUUGGAGUUGUAAAUUAUAAGAAGAAAUUGUAAACAAAACAAAAACUUAGAAAAAUAACACAGAACUUGUAAAUUGGCAUUAAGUCUGCUGUACAUUAAAUAUUAUUUAUCUUAUUUUAUUAAAUAUAAGGGUAAAAAAAGAAGAGGAUUGAGUUGAUUCCCACUCCCACCUCCCUCAUGGGAGUGGGAAUGGAGUGAGAAUCACAUUCUCCACUCGAAAAAAAGAUAGGUCUCACGGAAUGAGAUUCCCACUUCUCCCUUAAAAUUAGUAAGUAAACACUGGAGUGAGAGGAAUCUAAAAUUUUUACUCUCACUUCAAAAAGUAAACACUAUAUAAAUGACUUGGGGAUUUGGCAACAGUAACAAUAAUAAGUAGUAGUCAUAUAACCCAUUUCUUGGCACCUUCCGCAAUGCCGCAAUGAACCAACUCAAGAUUUUUAAGACUUGAAACAAGGACUUCUUGCUUAGUUAUCAAGAAAUUUCAAAUUUAUUCUUAUUUGAUGUGUAAUGUUAAUUUGCAUUUCUAGCUUAAAUGUUUUCAGGGCGUAGACGCUAAACAUGUGAAAGGCAGUGACAUUUUUCUUUUAUCAGGCUUAAGAUUACGUUAGGAAGCGUUUGUGGCACUAUGCAAGUUAUUGGUAAAAUAUAUAGAGGGCUAACAAAUGGGCAGACCAAUAAAUUUUUUUUUUUUGGUAAUUAUUCAUUUAUCAUUUGGUAUUUUGAGUUUUUUAAAAAAUACAUAAUUUUUUUUAAUAGAAUUCUACCUGAAGGUAAUAAUUUUUUCACUCGUCCACUUUAGUGUUAGUUCCGUUAUAACUUUACACGAUAUCAUAAAGUUAAAGUUGUCAUUUCAUUUGAAAAAUGACAUCUGAAAAGCAAAAACCACAUCAUACACACAGUUGAAACCCAGAAACUUAUUGUUGCUGCUGAGAAUUCCGGCUAGAGGAGGAACAUUCGUGGCGGUCGUUGGGCAUAAUCGGCAAGCAUUAAGUGUCGUUAAUCGAAACAUAAUCCUCGUCGGAAAAAAUGGCCAACGCAGCUGUUUGGUAUGCCUGAGUGUGAUUACUGCAAAUUAAAAAUUUUGGAGCCGAAGGUGAAAAGAACUUAUUGGUUCGUUGUUUUCAAGAUCGAGGGGAAGGAGAAGCUUUUUUGAGCCAGCUCCAAGCUAUUGAAGACUCCAAUUUGAAGUUAGUAAAAAGUUCAAAUGCUUAGCAACAAUCCACGAAAAGCUUCACGGGUUGCCAUAAAUUUGUUAAUAAUUGGACAAAUUGACCCAUUAUCCACAACUAUUAAAAUUAUUUUUUAUUUCUGAAAUAAAAGGUGAAAAAUCUUGUCAAAUUCAACGUAGUGCUUACAUCUUUCACCACAAAAUCUCGUGUACACAGAAGCAUUAAACCAGAACCUGUUUAUCAAAAAUGCCUAUUUAAUUAUACAUUCCCUGCUAUUCAAAUUCUACAUUUUCUCUCUUUUGCACCGAUCCCAAUCUCUCUCUCGCCAUCUAUUUGACAAAGUCGUCGUAAAAAAGGGUCAGUGCAGCUAUCUGCAUGUAUGGUGUUGUGGAGCUCAAGGCAAAAAGAACCUAUUGGUUGAUUGUUUUCAAUAUCAAAGAGAAGCAGAAGCAAGCUGUUGCGGAGAAGCUUGCUGAGCAGCUCAAAGCUACGAGGAUUGCAAAGAAGAGGAAAACAAUUAUUUUAUGUUUAGGUGGUAAAAAAGUCAUUUGACCACUAUUUCAUUAAUUUUUUUAAGGAAGUUAAUGUAAAAGUGGACGAGUGAAAAAAUUAUUAACUUUAGUAUAAUUUUGUCAACAAAAUAAAAAUUUAUAUAUUUUUAAAAAAAUUUAAAAUAUCAAAUGAUCAGUGGAUAAUUAUCGUUUUUCUUUUAAUUUUUUGUUAGGUACGUUGCUAUUUAACUAUGUACAUGAUUAGCACACCACUUCAUCAAUUAUAUUAUUAUUUUUUUUUUUUGAUUACAUGAGACUAUUGCUCAGAUUACAACUCAUAUACAUGAGACUAUUACUGAUAUUUACAAAUCAGACUAUUACUGGGAUCAACUGACAUCAAUGCUAAUGGAGCUCUGCCCAGAUUUUAACCCUCAUAAAUAUUCGAGGGAUGUCUACUCCUCACUCAUGGGUAAGGGAGAAGACUACCUUCACUCAAAUUAAUUGAAGAAGAAAAUACCCCCACAAUGCUUUUGUGGGGGUUCAAACCGCUGCCCUCCAAGUUGGAGGGCAGCAGCCCUGGCCACUCGGGCUACUGCCCGAGUGGUAUCAAUUAUAUUGUGCUUAGCCCGAGUGGUAUCAAUUAUAUUAUUAAGCACAAUGAAUCUGACUAGAUUUUACACUUAAUUUCUUACAUUUUUCAAAAUUUAAAAUACUAUUCUCUCACAAAUUCAUCCUAAGUUACAAUAGAUGACUGUUGCAACAAGUACUAGCUAGCAUCAGCGUCAUGAUGAAUUCGUUCAUAAAGUAGGGUUUUAAUAUUGAUGGACCUAUGAUUAAGGCCAUCAUGUCAAAUUCAGAUUGUAAUUGCCACUAUUAAUUGCUUGUACCUUACCCUUCAAACAUGUUCAUUCUUCCUAUAUAUAAAUCCAGCAAUUAAUCUCCUCCCUAGAUGGUGCCCAUCAUCUAAAGAAACAAAACGCAAGAUCAUUAGGACAGGUAUAGUAUAAUCUGUCGAGAUUUGCCUCGGAUUUUGAUACUUUGCUGCCUUGUCUCUGCAUCCAAUAGUAUACUUUCUUUUGAAACUUGAAUUAACACUCCCUCGGCCACUGAUUAAAUUUUGAGUUCUGCUAUUUGAACUCUGCGAAGACAAAAGAACAACAAAAAAAUUGGCACGUGAAUCAACUGCGCUAACAGUUUUUGUAUAUUACUUUUUGAGUUUAAAAAAUAAAAUAAUCAAAAGAAAGAAAGAAAGAAAAGUAACAAAAAGAAAAAAAAGAGAUUACUUUUUGAGUUCUGUCUUUAGUCUCUCUCCAUUUCUCACCUCUCAUUUAUGUGAGCUCUCUGGGUUCAGGAAAGAAAAACUCAAACGAGUUCCGUCUCUGCAUCUCAAUUAUCACAAGGAAGAAAUUAGAUCUACAUCUACAAACAGAGGUGAGAGAUGUUUAAAUGGUUAGAAUAUUUAAUUUAAAUUAUAAAAAUUCGUAGAUUUUUACUUUUUAUAUAUUUAAAUUGUUAUGAAUUGUUAUGAUUUUCUGCUGUACCGUACAUCCGCCUUGGCCGUACAGCAGACUCAUCAGUUGAUUGGUGAGAUGAUACGAUUAAUUUCACUUAGAUUUUGUAAAGAAUUACUAACUACUCAAUAAAUUAUGCGUCGACAUUUGGGAUAAAAUGUGGGAUAUCAUUACUCAUGUAAUGAUUAAGAUAACUUUAAAUAAAAUAUUGACUAUAAAAAAACCGAAUAUUUUAUUGUUCAUUUUCCGGAUGUGUUUUAUAUAUUUAAGUUGUUAGGAUUUUAUAAUUUAAAUUGUUGGAGAUAAUGGAAUAAAUUAUAAAAAUUUGUGGAUGUGUUUUAUAUAUUUAAAUUGUUAGGAAUUUUCGUUACUGGACAAAAUGUUAUAUAAGUUUCUUAAUACAAAUGUUAAUUAUUUUGUAGAAAUGGAGUAUUUGGAAAAUGAGCAUGCAUUUGAAGAGUUGCAAGAAACAAGAGCUAACGAUGUAAAUGAAAUUGUGGAACCGAACAAAUGUGAGCCAGCUCUUGGAAUGUUAUUUGAUAAUCAUGAAGAAAUGUUUGCAUUUUACAAAGCUUAUGGUAAACAAGAGGGGUUUCCUGUGAAGGUUCGAAGUACUAAAAAGGGGAUCGAUGGAAUUGUAAAAUAUGCGACAUUUGCAUGUGGGCGUAGCGGCAAGUCAGAAAGUAAAUCUGCUAAUGCAUUGAAGCCGAAACCGAAUGUGAAAAAUGGUUGUGAUGCAAAAAUUGGAGGUUGUCUAAAUGAAGAUGGAAAAUGGGUUCUUCGAACUUUAAAUCUUCAACACAACCAUGGAUUGAGUCCAGACAAAGCUAGGUAUUUCCCAUGCAAUCGCAGAAUUAGUGCAAGCGCUAAAAAGUAAAUUGAAAUGAAUUAUUGUGCAGGAAUUAGAAUUGCCCAAAUUUUCAAUUCUAUUGUUGUUGGAGCUGGUGGAUAUGAAAAUGUGACAUUCUUAGAAAAAGAUUGUAGAAAUUUUGUUGACAAAACAAGGCGAUUACAGCUUGAGGAAGGAGAUGCUAUGGCGCUUUUAAAGUACUUCAAGAAAAAGCAAGCAGAAUAUAAUGGAUUUUUUUUUAGUAUUGAUUUGGAUAAAGAGGAUCGAUUAAAGAAUGUGUUUUGGGCAGAUUCGCGGAGUAGGGCAGCUUACAAAUAUUUUGGAGAUGUCAUCACAUUUGACACUACAUAUCUGACCAACAAGUAUGACAUGUCAUUUGCGCCCUUUGUUGGAGUUAAUCACCAUGGACAAUCUAUUUUAUUGGGAUGCGAAUUGACUUCACGCGAGGAUACGGAGACAUUUACGUGGUUAUUUGAGGCGUGGCUAUCAUGCAUGUCUGAUUCUCCUCCCCUUGGUAUCAUUACAGAUCAAGACAGGGCAAUGCAAAAGGCAAUUGAAAACAUUUUUCCUACUACUAGGCAUCGAUGGAGUUUAUGGCACAUAAUGAAGAAGGUGUCUGAGAAGUUAGGGGCUUUUAAAGAACGUGAAGGUAUUAUAUCUUCCAUGCUUUCUGUUGUUUAUGAUUCACUGAGUUCUGAUGCGUUUGAGGAAGCUUGGCAUUGCAUGAUUACAGAAUAUGAUUUAUGAGAUAAUGAUUGGUUAAAUGGUUUGUACGAGGAGAGGUAUCGUUGGGUCCCAUGCUAUUUAAAAGGCUAUUUUUGGGCAGGAAUGUCAACAACUCAGCGAAGUGAAAGUAUGAAUACAUUUUUUGAUAGAUUUGUUAACUCAAAAACAAAUCUGAAACAAUUUGUAAAGCAAUAUGAAAAUGCAUUGAGGAGGAAAACUGAAUUAGAAUGGCAAGCAGAUGCCAAGUGUUUCAGUAAAAGGACACCAUGCGUAUCAAGAUAUGAGAUGGAGAGGCAAGUUGAAGAAGUGUACACCAUUUCCAAGUUUAAAGAAUUUCAAGAAGAUUUGACUGCUCUGAUGUAUUGUGAUAUCUCGGAUUCUGUGGGAUCAAUAUAUCAAAUAAUUAAAUCAUUUGGGCAAGGUCGGAGAGACUUCUUUGAUGUUGUUUUUUAAGAAGCUGAGUGUGAAGUUACUUGUAUAUGUUCAAAAUUCCAGUUUAGGGGGAUUCUUUGCAGGCAUGCCCUUGCAGUGCUGAUACGUAACACAGUUGAAUUACUUCCAGAAAGAUAUAGUUUGUUAUGGUGUGUAGAAUUUAAAUGUGUAACGCGGUGUUGGAUUGGAUUGAGAAAGCAAUGAAGGAUCUGCCCAAGCAAAUUCGCUGUGAAAGUGUGGGAAAAACUAAUACUGGUGGAGCAAGUUGUAGCAGCAACAAACAAAUUAACAGUGAGAGUGGAAAGAACUGUUAUUGGCGAAGUAAGUUGUGGCAGCAACAAUGUUCAACUUGCACUAAAUGAUCCAGUAGUGACACGUCGUAAAGGCUGUCCACCUUGCCUAAGGAAAGAAUCUUCGAUUCGUAAGAAAUCCGUUCAAAAGAACAAGUCCGCACAAAAAAAUAAGGUAUGAUUAAAAACAAAGAUCUAUUUUCUAAUUAAUUUGGUCUUAGUUUAAUUGUUUUUAAUAAUCUUGUAGGAUUUACAACAAAUUGUCCCAUCAUCUUAUCAUGUGCCUAAUGAAAUCUCCACACAAGGGAGCAACAUAGCCACGGUAAAUUUUGUGAAUUUUUUCUUUUACAAUUUUCUUUUAUUUCGAGGAUAUGUAAUUAAGUAUAAGAUUGCGCAUAUGUAGACGCUACAAGAAGGAAGUACUAUUUAUAGAAAUCUCAACCAAUGCGGCACUAUAGGCUAUUAUAAUGUAAGAAUUAAAUUAUUUAAAUUUUAGUUUUAAGAUUUUUAUAUGAAUUUUACAUAUAUUUUAUUAUUUGAUUAGGUACCUAUGUACCAAUCCCAAUUCGGUGGAAGCAACAUUUAUCAGUCAUUUUCUUAUAAUUGGCACACAGUAAGUUGUUGUUUACAAGUCGUUAAUGAAUACAUAUAUUUUAAUAUUUUUGUAAUGUAAUAUGAUGUUUAUUUUUAUGUAUUAUAGCAACCAGUCCCACCGUAUACUUCGCAGUUGCAUUAUUCUUCUCCUUCGAUGACUUAUCAAGGAUCUCAAAGUGGGAAUUUCCAACAGUUAUUACAGCAGCAGCAGCGUAAUGAAGAUAACAAUGAUGAUACUUGACUUGUAUUUUGGCUUUAAAUUGUAGUGAUGAAAUAAUAUUGUGUUAAAUUGAACUUUAAAUUUUUAAAAUUAUGUUUGAUUUGACUUUAAAUCUUUGAAAUUGUAGUGAUGGAAUAAUGUUUUGUGUUAAAUUGAACUUUUAAUUUUUGAAAUUAUGUUAGAUUUGUUUAAUGUUGUCCACUUGCAAUUUGUUUGCUCACGCUGUCAUGAAGUGAUAUUGUAUAGACACCGAUGGUUUUGCAGUCAGUGCAAAUAUUUCCAGCUAUGUGAAAGGUAAUAAUUCUUCCUCUUAAAUUUUGUUUUCAUACUCAUGUCCACGUCUUUAAUUGAACUGUUCUUUUUGCUUUUAUACUUAUGUCCAUGCCUUUAGGUCCUCAACCGAAAUUGGUGUGAAUUAAUUUUAUGUGCAAUUUCUUUUAUGACCAAUGAAACUUCAAUAAAUUACGAUUAUUGAACACAAAACGAGUAAUUAUAAACAAAUCCACUUUCAUACCAGACCAUGAAGGUUUCAGUAGCACUAAAGAUACACAAAAUAAUUUUACAAAAUAAUUUUUCUUAUGUUCUAGAAUUCAUAUCUCAUAUGCAUAGGGUCAGAGGAAAACAAUUCAUACACAACAAUCAUUUUAUUUAAAUUAUUUAAAUUUAUACAUAACACGGGGUACAAUUUCAUUUAUGCAAAAUACAUAUAGCAACGAUUAUCCCUAAAAUACAACAUACAAUGGAUAAUAUAGGCAGAAUAAUACAAUCAUUUCUGCCUUUAUCAGUUUGCACAGCUUUUUCGCAUGUAGGCACUUCAGUUUGCACCUCCUUUUCGAGUGUUUCCACAAUAAAUUUUGUAAUUUCUAACAUAUUGGAUGUCUCUGGCAAUUUUUCAUGCCUUUUUAAUGUAAUCAUUGUAGGCUAUUUCGGCAUCCAACAAAGAUUUAUAAGAAUUCCCUUUGAAUCCAUUUACUUGCAUCUGACAUUCAGGCCAAUAAUUGUAUAUGCCCGGCUUUCGUCCUUUGAAAACAACAUAACAGCUUUGAGUAGGCAUUUGAAUUCUACAUUGGAAAACUUUAGAUCAAUAUUCUAGACUUUUAUGCUAAGAAUUUCAACUGCUAACAAUAAGAGAGAAUUUCAAAACCAGGAGGGAAAAAAGAGUAACAUUUUAACCUUCUGAAAAAGAAUGGGAGCCUUACAGCAAAGCACAAAGGCCAGCAUCAACCAAGAAACUAAUUUCUGCAACUGUAAGUGAGACAAAUCACAGCAAUUGUUCCUGAUGAACAAUGGUAAAUAAAGAGAAAAGCAAAAGGAAGUUAAUUUGGGGGGGGGGGGACACUUGUAAAGAAGCUAUAAGAGCUGAAUCAAUUAAAAAUAGCGUAAAUAAUAUACACAAGGCAGAAUAAUAAAUGUAAUCUAGGGCGACUACAAAAAAACCCAUUAUCACAAUAACAAAGCUACCCUCAUAAUGCUGCAAUUACAUGUCAAAACUACAAAUUAGGCUAUGUUAUUAUGUAUCUCGAACCCAAAGGGUGGAGUUUUGAAAAAAAAAAAUAUAGUUGUAUAUUCUUAUCUUGCAUAAAUUUAUGCUUAUACAAUAUCACAAACACUUUUAUGGAGGAUUAUGAGUGGCUUAGACGAUUAAGACAGCCUUAGGGACCAGGGGGUUCAAUUGCACCAUGCAUUCAAAUUACAGCUGUCUAUUAAACUUCAGUGAUUAUUUUUUAGUCAUGAAAAGAAUUAGACCCAAUGAAAAAAGGUUGAAUAAUGUCCAAAGCCAUACAACAUCCAUAUCUGUUAUAAGAAAAGUGUCAAGCUUCGCAUAUCAUAUUAAAUAUUUUAUCAAUAUGAGUCUAAUACCAUUACCAUAGACAUGCCAUGAAUAAUAAGUUGACUAGCUAAUUACUACUUACAAAAAGAGGUCAUAACUCUCCACACUCAUUCAGCCUCAAAAUGUGUCUCAGACUUACAACAUUCAGGACAGGAGAGCAAAUACUUUCUCAUCUACCUCUCUCCCAUAGAUCUGAUAUCUCUACAUAUCUCCCCAACUACUCCCUCUCUCUUAUCUUGCCAACCUCAGAAGACAUGAAUAUGCUAAAUAAUAGCUUUUGUAAUUUUUCUUAUCAAAAUAAAUUACUGCAGUGCCUCAUCCUAACCAAUUAAGAAAACCGUAAAAGUCUCAAGAUCCACCCUUAUUCCAUAAACACCCCACCCAAGAAAUGCUUACGGAAGAAAUUUUCUUACUCUGUCAAUCUCAAAAUUUCAUCAUCCACAAGAUAAAAUAAAAAAAAAUUAAAAAAAAAAUGCUUACGGAAGAAAUGCUAACACUGUCAAUCUCAAAAUUUCAUCAUCCACAACAUAAAAAAAAAAAAAAGAAAUGCUUACGGAUGGGUCACUACAACUGCAGCAGCAAGCAACAACUAGAAGUCUCCAAAACAGCGACGUCGUAGUAGAUCUGGGCUGGGGAGUCCGGUAACGAAGCAAAUGGAGGGGGAGUCUGGUAACGAACGAAGCAAAUGGAGAGGAGUCUGGUAACGAACGAAGCAAACUCAAUGGAGGGGAGUCUGGUAACGAAGCAAAUGGAGGGGGGGUAAAAUGAGUGGAGGGGGAAAACUAAGGAAAGGAAAAUGAGUGGUUGGGGAGUUACCAGAAAUGACCAUCGUUUUUUUUUUUUUUUUUUUAUUUCUUGUGGGUCCACGCAAGAUUAAAAGAAGCAAAAAUCUAACGCGUGAAACGGUAAUUCAAAGUUGCGUUUCUGUCGUCCUUUUAUCUUCAUUGAGUUCGUUUAUCAUUUUCUUUAAAUUUUUGUCUCAAUUGGGUUUUGAUUUUGAUGAGCUUAAAUUAAGAAGACGUGAAACUGGUUAUGUAUAUGUCGAAAAGGUUGUAAUUUGAAUAGAUGGUAUUACUUCUGUUAGGCUUAACAAUGAUCUGAAUCUCAUCAAUGAAUAAGCGACGCUUGUUUAAUUUCUGAUGCAAUCUGAUGAUGGUGAGUUUAAUAAAUGAUGGUAAAAAAUGAUGGAGUAUUUUGAGAUACUAAUACCUUCAUAGGUGGUGGUGGAAUGCUUAUGAACGUUAUUUUACAGUUGCAAUGCAUUGAUAAUGAUAACUUGUUCUGCCAUUAUGAUGCAAUCGUUAGAAUGCACAGCUUCAGAUGCUUGCCAUACAUGCAGUGUAAUAAAGUUAUUAUUUAAGGGCAAGAGCUCAACAUUAUUCCCUCGGCAUGAGACAAAAUUUAUAUGGAAUAACGCUGCGGGUAUUUUUGUAAUUUUACUUGUUUAAAUUGAAAAAAUAAUAAUAAUUUUUUCAUUUCAUGAGUAAAAGCCCAUUUAAUCCUUGUAUUUUAAGAUUAAUAUCUAUUUAGUCCCUGUAUUUUUUAAAAUACCUCAAAACAUCCUUGCCGUUAAAGUAUUAAUACUCAUACCGUUACUUUUUAUUUCUUUUGGCUUACUUUUACAAUAUUACCCUUUUAUGAUAAUUUUUUUGUUUGGACAUUAAUAAAAAUAAAAUAAUUAAAUUAUCAAUUUAACCCUUAAAAAAUUAUAUUAAUUUUUAAUUGUCAAAAAUUAAAUUGUUAAAAAUUGUACGCAAACUAUCAAGUAUGCAAAUGGUACUUGUAAAAAAAUUAAUAUAAUUUUUUUUAGGAUUAAAUUGGUAAUUUAGUUAUACUCUUUCUUAAGUUGACCAAAUUAAAAAAUAAAAACAGAUUUAUUUCUCAUGUGAGAAAUAAAUCUGUUUUUAUUUUUUAAUUUGGUCAACUUAAGUAAGAGUAUAAACGGUACCGUUUUACAUGGCUGUGUAAUGCUUUGACUCACUGUGACUUGUGUGCUCAUUUGUCUGUAAAUUGCAUUUCCCCAAAUUCUAUAUAAUUUGAUUUUUAUUUUUUAAUUUUUCUCAAUUCCAGUCCCACCAUAUUUUAGAAUUCUAUUCUCUUUUUAAUUAUAUAACUGUGUAAGUGUAGGUAUUUUCUCCACUAAAAUGGGUGAAAUCAAUAUCUAUCUAAUAUUGGUAAGAGUAAAUAUUUGACUGUGCCAUAAUAAAUUUAUUUUAAAGUAAUUUUAGUAAUUUUAUGAUUGUAAUAUACAUAUCAAUAUUUAUUUAAAAAAAAAUUACUGAUACUUGUAUUUUUCCAAAAAAAAAAAUUAUAUCUCGGGAUUUAGAAAUGGUAACAUAAAUUUUUAAGAGUUCAUUCAAAAUUGUUUGAAGUAAUAUCUUAAUAGCCUUUGUCUAGAGCUCCUCCUGAACAGUAGUGCUUUUGUUGGAAUAAUGAUUAGAACUGAGAUAGAGACACUACAUACAAUAAUAUUCUUUGUUACUGUAAUUUAGUAAACAUUUCAAAUUGUCAAUGACUUGCAUUUUAAUUGAAACAUUAACAUUUACCUAUCCGAAAAAUUCGGCAGUAUUUCGUUCGGUCGGCAAAAGAAAAAGGUUGUUAUCGGACCUGUAGUUUGUUAGAAGUGACCGGGAAUUAAAAAUUUCUUCUCGUUAAGAAUUUUUGUGUCCUAUAACAAUUUUAUUUUAGAGGGGUCCUAAAUAAUGGCACCAAUUAAAAAGUAUAAAGAGUGGGUUUCCAAUAAAUAUUGAGAGCAUCUAACCAUGACUUUUACAAUUACACUUUAUAUAUAUAUAUAUAUAUAUGACUUUUUUUUUUUUUUUAAGGUUUACAAAUCUAGUCUACUGAUAGGCUUUGCUUCAUUGUUGGUCCAGCGAUUAAUUUCAAUGUUACUUGUACAAUAAAAGCUUUAGUUUUCUUUCUCUCUUUUCUUCUUUUGUAGUCUCAUCUAUACAAUUAUUUUGUACGAACUUAAAAUAUUAAUAUUUUUUAUUUAUUUUUAUUUUUGAAAAACUAAUAUUUCUGAGUUUUGUGAAAAGAAAGAUAUAAAUAUUAAGACUGUAAAAAAGAUUUAAGGGGGAGAAAAUUAUUAAAAUUUGAAGGAUUUACAAAUAAAAAGAAUGUUUGAUUAAAAAAAGAAGAAGAUAUUUUUGGUAUUAAGUUAAAAAUAAAAUUAAAAAAUAAGAAAGAAAAUUUUGGAGGGGUGCAAAUAUUCCUAACUCUUAUAGAAAUGAAUUGGCCCCUACCAUUAAUUAGGGCUACACAAACACUAGUCUUUAGCCCGAAAGAUAAGUCCUUUGUUCAUAAAGAUACAAUAAAUGCUCUCUCUUUGGUACCAGGGUAUUACAUUUUAAAUAGAUUUUUUUUUUAUUAAUAAGUAGAGGUUUUUUUAAGUUAUGUUACGAAGAAGAAUGGAAGAAAAAUGUGAAAUAAAAUAAGAUCUAAAUAAUUUAAAGUUUUUAAAGUGCUCAAAAUUCUAUCUUUUAUCAGUAGAGGUAAAAGAGCUUUUUUAAUCCCAAAUUUUCAACUCAGGUUACAACUAAACAACACAAAAAUAAAAAUUAAGUAUUAAAAAACUUAGAAUUUUUUUGGCCAUAAAAAGAAGCCAUACUAAAUAGUCAUUUAUAAUGAUCAGUCACCACAAAAUAAAUUAAAAAUAAAUAUAAGUAAGUUAUGACUUUUUAAUCUGAUUGGUAUAAAUUAUGGAUCCUGCAAAAAAAAAAAUCACAAAAACAGAUUACUCCCAUGAAAUUAUUAAAAAAAAAAAAGCCCAAGGAAGAAAAAUGAUAUAUUUACUGAAAGUGACAUAAAAUUUAGUAUAAAAGUCACAACAACAGACAAAAUUUAUGUCUUGUAGUGAAUUUUUUUUUUGUUUUAUAAUUAAUUUUCUUUUAAAAAAUCUUGUAGGAAUGGUAUAAUAUUUCUUUUUCUGUGGCAAAGGAAACACAAUGCAGCCAAUGGCAAUGAACCUUUGUACAAUUGCCAAAUUGCAAGUCUCAGAGCUUGCAGGGAGGCAAAGAAAGAAAGAAAGAGACUAGUUUGGCUAUAUAUUGCUCAAAAGAAUCAAACUCAUCACAUAUUCACAUGAAUGAUUAAGAAACGCGGCAACUAAAUAAAAAAUGGGGCAUGAGAAUUUAUUCGAUUUGGUCAUUUAGUCUUAACUUGACAUUCACGCUAAUUUUAACUGGUAGUUGGAGGCUUGGGGAUUCCAUUUAAUUUGCUUCGGCAUUUCCCUCAAGAAGGGUAGACGCAUAGAUUCUGCUGACGCUUCAAUGCCCGUAGCCACAUAAACUCUCUAUUUAUUAAGGAACAGGACCCUCUCUUAAAUUUCAAUUGGGUGUCUCACUAAUCAAUUUUCUCCCUCACUCUCACUCACUCAAAUCACUUUUGCUUUUUCCCUGUGUGCUUUGCAUUUUCCCUCGAUAUGGCACCCACCAAGAACAAUAAUAAUAAUAAUAAUAAUAAUAAUGAUGCGUCUGGUAAGAAUGUGGUGAACAGAGGAGCUUGGACUGCUGAGGAAGAUAGAAAGCUGACCGAGUAUAUCGAAAUUCACGGUGCAAAAAGAUGGAAAAAUGUUGCUACUGAAUCAGGUUCGUUACAUUUACAUUUGCAGUGGCAUUUCCAGCCUUAAUUUGCUUGGAGCUGAGAAAGAAUCAAUAAUUUUUUGUAACGGGGCUGGCUGGUUUCAUUUGUCUAUGAAUUAUGCAGGCUUGAAUCGAUGUGGGAAGAGUUGCAGAUUGAGAUGGUUGAAUUAUUUGAGACCGAAUAUCAAACGAGGCAACAUUUCUGACGACGAAGAGGACUUGAUCCUCAGGCUCCAUAAAUUACUGGGCAACAGGUACCGUCCUUUUUUUUUUUUAAGAUUAAUAUUAAGCAAGCAAGCAAGCAGAGGGUACGGUGAUUGAUUGACGUUGUUUCUGCAAACAGAUGGUCUUUGAUUGCGGGGAGACUUCCAGGACGAACAGAUAAUGAAAUUAAGAACUACUGGAAUUCUCAUUUGAGCAAGAAAAUAAAUCACAAGCAUAAAACACCGCAGCAGCCUCAGCAGCCUGCAACUACACGACUAAAAGUUCCUGAAAACACCUCGGAGAUUGCUCCCGUAAAUGAAGAGGGUGGCAGGCAAAUUGCAAACUCGGAAGUCAAUCUUGAUUUCGAUUUUUCUACUGAGGGGCUCUGUGGUUUGGACUGGGUAAAUAAAUUUCUUCAACUGGAUGAUGAUCAUCUUUGGCUCACUGAUCAACAGAGAUGAGCACUUUGUCCAUAAAUGUUUUCUCCUUUAAAGAGAUCACUUUUAUGUAUUGCUCAAUAAUUUUAGGGAUCCCCUUAUGGGUCCGCACGCUAUUCAUGUGAGAGACUCACUUACUAUUCAUGUGAAAGGAUUGUAAGUUACAUAAACUUAACAUUAGCCUAAUUUUAGACACCCUGUUGCUGCCUGUUCUAUUUAUUAGUGCACAGUCAGCCCGAGUCAGAGAUAUUUUAAUUUUUUGAACAAAAAUAUUGGAGUUUGUUUGAACAAUAACCCGAACAAUGAAUGACUAGAGAGAAAAAAAAGGACCACAUAAAAAUUUUGAAAAAAAAAAAAACUAAACUAAGUACUUUGUAGCAGAAAAGGUAGAAAGAAAUAUAAGAAAAUGUGAGCUUCAUUGCCGCUUCAAAGUUCAAACAACUUCUUAGUGUCAGCCUUUCUCCGUUCGCGAGCGUUAAUGUUACCGACUGAGUACUGGCAAAUUGACGUAAAUAUUUUUACGACUAGUCCGUUCCACAGCAACGUAGAUUCUUUAUUUUAUUUAACGCUCCAAAAAAAAUCUUCAAAAGUUCUACUGAAAAAAUAACCACACAAUUACAAAAAUUUUGAUAAGAAUUUGUGAUAUUAAAUAAGUAUUUAUGAUAAUUAGAUAAAUCGUAUCAAAUAAAUAUUUAACGCAUGUUUGAUGUUGGGAUAAAUAAAGUCGAUCGUGUGCAGGAAUUAGUGUGUAGCCGGUUUUAGUUCUCAUACCUCUUUCUCUGAACCAAAACAUCAUAUAUAGCCGUAGAAUCCAUAACAGCAGAUUGUGCCUUAACAUCUCUCUAAUUGCUACUACUCACAUGUAAAGUCUAAGAAUCAACGCAUACAAAGGUAUCUUGUUACGUCCCCUACACAAGUGUACAGUAAAAAUACAUUUAAAAAAAUCACCUGCAUUGAUUGUUAUGUGAAAAUACAAAGGCUGUGCCGUUGUGAUCCAUAAACUGAAAAGAAAACACCAAGAUUGUAAUCGUCAAUGAAUGGGACAACAAUAUUAUGCAGGAAAAAAAUGCAUGUACUGUAUGUCUAUAUAUUUAAUAGACUUGUCCAUAAUACAUGAUGCCAUUUAAUAGAAAAUGACUAAAUUUUUUCUUGUUAACACAACACGGGGUUUAAUGGAAGUACAAUGGCAAUUAGGGACAAAGGUAAAGUCAAUUAUAGUAAUCUCCAAUUUCAUCAUGGAACAAAGGCACAACUGAAACUGUACAUUUAACAACAAAUGAAUUUGUAAAAAAAUACUAUAUAAUGUUCAAGUGCAGUGAUUGCCAGAUUUCUCAGUAUCAAGAUGCGGGGUCAAUACGAAUGGUGACCAAAAACUACUGGGAAACAAAUCAUGAACAAGCUGACCAGUUGGAUCAUCUCCCAUUUAAGAAAUAAUCAAUGCAUUAAAAGAAGACUCACAUAAUUGAAAACGCAAUCUAUUUAUUACAUUGUACCUGGGUCAUGAAUGCAUAUUCCAGCAUCACCAUUUUUUUCAUAGCUCUGAUCCUGCCGUCGGUCCCAAGCACAUGGAUGCUAAAGCACCAAACCAUCACUGAGGCGACAAAUUUUGCGGUUUCCCACAACAAUCACAAUUACUAUGCUUUUGAUUAAUUUUCAUUCAUUUCAGCUUUUCAAUGGUACCUAUAUAAAGUACUGUGUAAUAAUAUCCACUCUUAAGUAAACCAACAAGAUUUAAUGUGAUUGGGGAUCCUGAAUCUGGUUCAAUCUAUUAAACCAAAUUGAGUGCAGCACCAUGUGAAACAAAUCAUAUUUGAUUGGCACAGGGUGCCAAACAAAAUGCUUUUGAACCAUCUUUACAUUAACUUGCAUCUCAAGAUAUUUUCUCAGCGGGAUUGCCAGGAGAAUCUCCUUUAGUUUGGGAAUAUCCUUCUCCGGUAUCACCACAGAGAAUGCACUCCAAUCCAAUACUUCGCCGAAAGGUAGAACAAAAUUAUCUGCAAUAAUGACUGGAACACAUUCAUAAUAUAUGGCCUCUACAAUCCGAGGACUGUUAACUUCAUACCCCAUUGGACAUAUACAAUACCUACUUGAUUUCAUGUGUUGAAUAUAUGACAUCUCUUUAGACACAAGAUGAGGCAGACGACGAUAAAUUUUCAUGUCCUCAUCAUCUUUCCAAUACUUGAGAAGUAUAGGUCGGACCCUGCCAUGCAUAUAUCCAGCAAAGAAGGCAAGGAUUGGACGCUGAGAUACUCUAUUUCCACCACCUAUAUGCCUUUGAGGUUUCUUGGGAAACUUUAUCGUGGUUUCCGGCAGGGAAACAUCUUUACCAGCCACGAAAAUGCCUUCGGAUAGGUCAGCAUUGCAUAGAACUUUUAUGGCAUUUUCCUUAAGUUCUGUGUGUGCAACCGUCGUGUAAGGGCCCUGCAAAUGUUAAAUUAGAACAGAGAAAAAUUAGAAAGUGAAUGAACUCAAACUGACCAGAAUAAAUUUAUAUCCUCAGAUGUUCCACAAUAUUGCUGAUAUGCUCACUUGAAGCUACUCAGGAGUUGAUGAUUGCUACUAUUGGCAUGUCAAAUCAAAAUUUGAUAUGAAAAAGAAGAAUUUGGCCAAGUAGUUUUAUUAAUGCCAAUGGUUGUUCUCUGAAAAAACAAAUGCUAUUAUCUCUAAAAAGUAAUGCGUUAAAUGUGCUUGUGUCCAACUGCAUGUGUGUGGAUGUGCCAGAAAGACCUUGAAGGAAUUUCAAUAAAGAAGUUACUAAUACAAUUCGGCUCAGAUUCCACAAAUUCUUCAAAUCAAACCCAAAUAUAAUUUAUAUAUGACACUGUAAUAAUGUUGAAGGCCUUGAUAGAGAAUGGGAAUCAUCUCAUAGCACAAACUUGUCUUUCCAAAAACUUAAUUCAAAUGCAGAAACUGAAAGCUUUUUUCAUUGCUAUCACUUAAAAUCAGAUAAAACAGUGUAUUGGAAGGAAUAUAACAAGCACAUACAGUAUCAAAUGAAAAUGAAUGUCUACUGAAAUAGAUGGCUCUUGGCUCUCGCAGUCUUAACCAAAUGAAGGUAUUUGAUCAAAUCAAGAAAAUGAUGCCUGCUAUUAGUUUUUUGAUUGAGAACCAAUAAAGAGAAAAGAAAGGAGAGAAAGAUAUAGAGGAAAUUAAGAGACAAUAUCAUGAUCAUUUCCCAAUAAUUAGUAAUUAUCAAAGUCUUCGUCCAAGUUCUACUCAAAACUGAAAAGCCUUAUUGAUAGUGGCCUAGGUCCUAUACAGAAGAAUAUGAAAACCAGAAUUCUUCUUAUAAUAAGAAACAUACAUAAUCAUAUGCAACAUAAGAAAACUACUUUUGGAAAAUAAGAAAAUUACUUUUGGAAAAAUAAACAACAAAACCUCAUGCAGCUUAAAAAGGAAAAACAAGAAUAACUCCUAAAUAAGCC
rnacentral:lncRNA from 1 species